rnacentral:lncRNA from 1 species
UUCGACCAUGGCCUCGUCCUCCGCUCUGAUCACGCUGCUUGUGGCCCUUGGCUGCGCUGCGGCGGCCUCCGCGGCCACGUUCACGGUCGGAGACGGGCAAGGGUGGACGACCGGCGCCGAUUACGCCACCUGGGCCAGUGGCAAGACCUUCUCAGUUGGAGACAAGCUCGGUGAGUCGAGUCCUCAACGCUACAGCACUAUUUUUACAGUGAUUUUAGACACUAAACCCUAACUGGACGCUCCGUUUGAUCACUAGAUCAGCAUGCACAUGACCUUAGUUAUAUUUUUUCCUUCAUUCUUCUACCUACGAGUACGUUCAUUCUCUGUUCUUGCACAAAAAAACUAGAUUGCGCCAAAUCAUACAGCUCUGGUUCCAUUUAUUUUUUUGAAUUGUUAGUGACAAGCACAAUUAUUAAUUUCGGUUCUACUUAUGAACUAGGAGUGGUAACAACACUGACUCGUCGUGGCCUAAUAUUUUUUGCUCUCUGUUUUCUCAGUGUUCAACUACGCCAGCCAGGCCCACACGGUGACCGAAGUCACCAAGAGCGAGUACGACGCCUGCUCCAGCAACGCCAACGGUGAAAACAGUGGCGCCACCACCAAGACCCUCAAAGCCGGCGCGAACUACUACAUCUGCACCAUCGGCACCCACUGCGCCGCCGGCAUGAAGCUCGCCGUCACCGCCGGCGACUCCAGCCCCGGUACCCCCGCGGCGGGGACGCCACCCACCACCCCGUCCGGGUCCGGCGGCUACCGCAGGGAGGCCGGCCCCGUCCUCGCGGCCACCGCUGGCAUCCUCCUCAAGCUCGCCCUCUUCUGAGCCGCCGAUGAUUCGAUGUUGGAAAGUUUCGCCGAUCGUUCUACGUUUUCUUCUGACGGCCACGCACUAGUUUGUACUACCUCUGUUCCUAAAUAUUUGUUGUUGGGGAGAACUAGACUAGUUCUCUCCAACAACAAAUAUUAUGGUACGGAGGGAGUAGUAGAGAGUGGUUGCCUGUGCUUUCCUGAUGUGAUAUGAUUGGUUGGUAUCGUAGCAGUUGGCGUGAGUGACUUUGUAUGGAUCAUUAUCUCGAUGUUUCUGUCAGUAGUGAUAGGACUCCUCCAUAUCACGGUGGUUAAAUAAGUAUGGAUUCUGUCAAUGCUGAGGUUUAAUUGUUCUUACUUUUGAGAAAAAAACGUAGGUUUUUCUUAUGAAAAGGAUAAUAAUACUCGUUCUACGUCGAAUGAUGCACACAACCAUGUGUUGUUAAAUAGAAAUCCAGCAGCUGAUCAAAUUUGACAUGAAAAAGAAAACACGGGGCUGCGUGUCUCGCGACGGUAACUCCAUCAAUUAAGCUCUGACUUUAUAGUAAACGACAAAAAUAAAGAAAAAAUAUAUAUAACUCCUCAGUUAAGCCUUCAAGAAAGAAACAACGCACGUGCACCCAUAAUGAUGAGUCCAUCCAUAGGCCGGUCUUUCACUAAGCAAGGAGACGAUGCAUGCAUGCAUCAACAUAGCUUGAUCCCAGGUCUUGUGUUUUUAACGGAUUGUGCAAAUUUGUUGUUGAAGCCGCUUCUACCACCAUUCCGUGACUGGCUACCGAUGCUUUGUCUAUAUGCACGAAUGCUUAUUCCUAUGAGGACUUCCAAAAAGAUCGAACCGAUUAAUUUUAAAAUAACACUCAUGCCCAAGUCUAAAACUUGAACCUAUAUGAAUUGAUUCUACCACAAGAAACCUAAUCAUAUGAGUAACGCUCAGUUUGCAAUUGUUCUUGCUUUUUCUUCUUCUUAUACCUAGUUUUGGUCAUGAGAGUGAGAGUGAUGCAUGUGGGCGGUUAGGCAGGUUAUGGUAGUAAGACUAUGACUAGACUGGAGGAACUAAAGAAUGGAAUUAUGAGAAGACAACAAGAUCGGACGGAAUCGGUUUGGUUAGGAUGGCUACGUGUCAUCACAAGUGCCGAAGUGUGGACAUAUUUUGCAACAUCUUUAGAGAAAGCAAGGCCGAAAAGCAGAGAUGGACGAUAGUUUGGAGUGCACAAGUUGUUGAUGAGUUACUUUUGUGAGAGGAGUGGAGUGGUUGGCACUAACUAUAUACGAUCGUUAGAGAUUCAAGAAGAUCCUUUUCGGUGUUCCGGUUCAGAAAAUUCUGCAGGACAAAAGUUUCCAGAGUCAACACCUGCUCCGGCCGGCCGUGCGAAUAUUGUGGUUAGUAAAGUUCUUGUCCGUAGCUACAACUUCUGAACUGAUAAGGUGAUCUCUCUUGAAAAGAGAGGCAUGUAGUUCUUGUCAAAGAGCAAUGUUUUUUUAAGAACUGUUGAAGGACACUGCUGCACGGCAGUUGGCCGAUCCUAGCCCAGGAUCGGUUCCCUCAUGAGCCGUUCGAUCAUCAAACGGUAGACUUACUAUCGUUCCUCUCUACAAACGUCACACACGCACGCAACUGCCGCCAUCCCAGCCUCAUCUUCCAACACUUUAGCUGUGCUCCUUGAGCCGCCUUCGUCGAUCAUUUCCUUGGAGGGCCACUGUCACUAGAAUCAUACCUUGCAGCACUCGGCACCAACUUCGCUCGCCGCUUGUAGCACCCGGACACUAUCGCUCAUAGCGCCAGCCGCAUACUCACAUGAUCAGCAAUCACACAUAAAUCUCUCAAGUCUGCUUUAUCGACAACAACUGAGUGCAACAACUACUGCAACAAUAUACCCAACUUCGACCGCGGAGGUUGAUACAAAGUUUUGUUCUUCGAGGCCCAACUAAGUGAUGGUCUUUCAAGGAAUUGGCAUGUUCCAGAGGUGCACUUCCUAUCCAUGAUCUGAAUCCGAAUAUCCAAUGAAAACAAAGGAGGCAUCCUUCGGGCACCAAAUACCAAAUUUGGCGGUAUGAAAUGAACCAAGCAGGGAAGUCCAAAAUCAUACCAAGGAUGCCAUCUUACUAAACCAAUGGAGGCAUCCUGAAUAUCCAACAAUCACACCAAAACCUUGUGAUUUCAUCCAAGGCUAGAAAUAAACUUAGGCAAUCGUACAAGCUCUCUAGGGGCUUGCUUAAGACUAUAUAGUACCUUAUGAAGUUUAUAGACAUGUCUAGGGUUAUGGGGAUCCUAAAGAACUAGUGGUUGUGCUCUUAGUUGCCAUGUUUCUGGUACGGUGUGAACGGGGAACAUGAACGAGGGACGAGAGUCGGUGGCUGAAAAAAAUAGGGUACAACGGGGGUAUACAUCUCUCGAAUGUUUUUUCUAUAGCGGGGACGCGAUCCAAUCCUUUUGGGUACGAUGAAUCCGGUAUGGUACCAUGGGUCGAGGAGUCUGGUGGUGUUCAUUGGGCUCAUGGCAAGUACUUAAUGAGAUAAAUCAGUGAAGAACGAAGAGUCCCAGACGGCCAGCAUUCGUUGUAGUUAAUGCAUCCCUUGCAGUUAAUGGACUAGAAGGAGAACGAGGAGUCCAUGAAAAGAAACGACGGCGUGAGUAAAUUAUGCCUAGCGUUUUGGCUGCUAGAUCGCCGAACCUGAAUCGAGGAGCAGGCUACGGGGACGCUGAAUCUUCAUCGAACCGUACCGAGUCCGACCUCGUUCCCGAAUCCGAUUCUGGGUCGACGAAUCGGGAUCGAGGGACGACCUACUAUUCCCUGUUUUGGGCUACUUUGGUUGUGCUACAUAUACCUUCUCGUCAAUUGGUCCAUUAGAAAAUGCACUCUUAACACUCACUUGAUGCAAAAAGAGAUUGUGAUGGUUGGCAUAUGCAAUCAAGAAUCAAAUGGCCUGAAGACAUGCAACAAGGGCAUAAGUCUCACAAAAAUCCAAACCUUCGAUCUGGGUGGAACCUUGAUCUAGUAACCUUGUCUUGUUUCUUAUGACAUGACCAUCUUAAUCUUGUUUGUCCUUGAAAACCCACUUCAUCUCAAUAACAUUGUGGUGUCUUGCAUUCGGUCUCUCCACGAGAGUACGCACCUUGUUGCGGAUGAAGUCAUUGAGUUCAUCAUGAAUAGUCAUCACCCAAUCCGGAUCUUGAAGUGCUUCAUCUACCUUAAGUGCUUCUAGGAAGAACACAAAAGAGUGAAACUUGUGAAAUGUAGCUAACCUUGAGCAAGUCGUUACUCCCUUUGACGGACUUCCAAUAAUAGAGUAGAAAUGAAGGCCUUGUCAAUUUGAUGGUAUUCUUUUGGGAAGAAGAUUCUCUUGAGAAAUUUCUUUCCUUGGAGCUUGAGCUACUUCUUUUUCAUGCCCUUGACCUUGCUCUUACCUUGAUCUUGGCUAGAUUGUGGACCUUGAUCUUGAGGUUGAUCACCAUUUUGACCUUGUCUUGAUGUAGAUGGAACAUCUUGGUUUAAUCUUGACUCCUGACUUGGAUUUGACGCAUACUCAUUUAGUGAAGCAACUUGGUUUGGGGGUGGGAGGUCGGGGUGGGGGUGGGGUCAAAGUCACCUACAACACUUGGAUCAACUUGCUCUACCUUAGAGCCAUAAAAUUAAUCAAACCUCACAUCACUCGAUUCCUUAAUACAUCGGGUGGGUUCGAUGAGGACUCAUUAUGAUUGUCAGUUCACACCAUAGAAAACAAGAGUACCCUCAAUAUUCUUAAGAUUCAUAAUUUGACCUAGGUUUCCUAUUAAGCAUGAAGCACUUACAACCAAAUUUUUGGUAGUGUGAGACAUCCAGCUUCUUCUUGGUAAGCAACUCAUAAGGUGUAUUCUCCACGAGCUUAAGAACAUAUAUGUAGUUAAUUGCAUGAAAUGCGGUAAUAAUUGUAUCGGCUGUCAAGUCUUCGCCAAUCAAAGUCAUAUGCCUACUACAACUCUUCAGACCAUUUUGAUUACCUGGCCAUUCGCUGUCUUGGGGCUUGACAUGGUCGUCCCACUACGAGGAGGAUCCGCUAGUAGAAAAUGUCCCAUUUGUCCCAGUUCCAGAGGCCCAUUAGCCCCAGUUCCGGAACCGGGACUAAAGGGUCGGGACUAAAGCAAAAAACCUUUAGUCCCGGUUCCUUUACCAACCGGGACAGAAGGGCCUCCAUGUGGCCUGUGCGGGGAGCCCAAGCAGGAGGGCCUAUAGUCCCGGUUGGUAAUACCAACCGGGACCAGGAGGUGUUUUUUUGAAUGGGGGUGUGUGUGUGUGUGUUGGGGUUUUUGGAGGGUUAAUUUAGGGGUUUCAUAUUGUGUUAGCUAGCUAAUAGAGAGAAGUGUCCUCCCUUUCUCCGUGAUGUAGAAGUAACGACUUUAGCGAGUUAUCCUCGGUCUCUUAGGUAUUGUGGCGUACCGACCAUUCAUUUACAACAUCUGGGCUAAUGAACCCAACGUCGAAGAUUCAUCCACACAUGAAUCUAAUCUGCUUUCCUUCCCCCAAUGAUAUAAAAACCAAUCAUGAUUAUAAUAAAAAAUCAUCAUGAUAAUCAUGAUCAACAUCAUAAUCAUAUUAAUAUAAAACUCUUGCAUCACUAUAGCUAAUAAUCAUCAUAGUCAUUACCACCAACACUAUUUAAUCAUCAUUUUCGUCAAUGAGACAUCAUAUAUAUAACAAAAGUUGGUCACUAGUCAUAAUCACAACUCCUCCUCCUCCUCAUCAUCAACUAUAACACAUUGUAGCACAUAAUAACACAUUGUACCUAGGACCUACUCCUCUCUCAUAGGACCUACUCUACCCUCUCUUAGGUAGAAUAUCAUAAAACAAGAUAGGCUCUGACUGUCCAUUAUGGAGAAUGGAGAUCAUCUUGUGUCCAAUUCUUGGCCUACGCACAAUGUUGCUUCCAAGUAGCUCUCUAUGGUUGACCAUACAUCUUUUCCAAUCUUUGAUUGUCAUUUUAUCGGUUUUAGAAAUCCGGUAUGGACAGGAGUGAUGCAUAUACCUAGGAUGACCUGGCCGUGCUGGUCGUAUGCUCAUAACAUCAGCGCGACCUCUUGGAAACAUCAGAUGAGGCACACAAUCUUGCGGGAUUUUCUGUUGAAAAACAUAGUAUUAACUUUGUAGCUAGCAAUAUAGUUUAGUUUUACAAGAAUUUAUGUAAAAGAUGCACGGAUGUCGUAAUAGUAGAAAAUCUUACCAUGCAAUCUCCAUGCAUGUUACCGUAGUUCACCACGUAGUUUGCUGAUAGGUAUUGUAAUUCUCAAGAUCAUUGAUAAAUGCGACAAGAUGAUGUUUCUCCUUACAAAUUAAUUUUGCUUCAUCAUUGUAGUAAUAGGUUCUGUCUACCAUCUUCCAUACAUUUUUUGAAGAACGAAAAUAAGUUAUCAAUGGAAAUAAGUUGUCAACUAUUUGUAAAUAAACAAUAUAAAUUACUUAAUAAAUAAGGUUGAGAAACUCACAUAAUGGUAGAACUGGAGGCGUCUGCACAUCGACCCAGGAGUAGGUGUGUGCAUUGUACAACUUUACGGCAAAAGUAUAACCAUGCUCGGUCCUCAAGUGAACUCUCUUUACCUCCAUAGUUUUUUCAGUACUGAAACCAAUCUUAUCCAAGACAUAAAUUCUUGCAUGGCACGGGAUACCCUAGUAGAAUAGUAAAAAAUAAAAAUUAUAAGUUGAAGCAAAAGAAGUCAUGCUUAAUUAAGAAAAAAUACUUUCACAUGAUUCGACAUGAUUCCACAUGAUUCGACAUGAUUCAAGAAANNNNNNNNNNNNNNNNNNNNNNNNNNNNNNNNNNNNNNNNNNNNNNNNNNNNNNNNNNNNNNNNNNNNNNNNNNNNNNNNNNNNNNNNNNNNNNNNNNNNNNNNNNNNNNNNNNNNNNNNNNNNNNNNNNNNNNNNNNNNNNNNNNNNNNNNNNNNNNNNNNNNNNNNNNNNNNNNNNNNCACAUGUUUCGACAUGAUUCAAGAAAUUCCAACAAAAUCUAUUCUUCACAUGAUUCGACACAUGAAACAUAACAUCUCAUAUAGAUCCACACUAAAAACAUAGUCUUCAUGAACCAUUCAAGGCCACAUCAUCAAUUUUCAACACUUUCGGACUUCAUUUGUUAUUUUUCAUGCCUUUACUGAUUUUUUGGAGCUAAAUGACCCAGAAAUUGAAAAGCACUACAAAUGAACUCUUAAUAGGUUGAAAGAUGGCAUCGUAUCAUCAUUUCACCCACAUAGCAUGUGCUAAAAAGUUGAGAGGGUUGCCGCAAAAACUGGAUGCACUUUGUGUACGAAUCAGACUAUCUCUUUCGAAGUAUGAGGGUUUCAUACGAAAACUCAUUUGUUACAAAAGGAAUUUCAUUUUUUCGAAAUCAUUUGAACUCCAGACUUUUUGUGUGUUCAAAAUGAACCAUUCAAGGNNNNNNNNNNAUGCCUUCAUUUGGUAUUUUUCAUGCUUUUAGUGAUUUUUUGGAGCUAAAUGACCUAGAAAUUGAAAAUCACUUCAAAUUAACUCUUAAUAGGUUGAAAGUUGGCAUGGUAUCAUCAUUUCACCCACAUAUCAUGUGCUACAAAGUUGAGAGGGUUGCCGCAAAAACUGGAUGCGCUCCAUGUACAAAUCGGACAAUCUCUUUCGAAGUAUGAGGGUUUCGUACGAAAACUCAUAUGUUACAAAAGACAUUUCAUUUUUUCGAACUCAUUUGAACUCCAACCUUUUUGUGUGUUCAAAAUGAACCAUUCAAGGCCACAUAAUCAAUUUUCAACAUUUUCUGACUUCAUUUGGUAUUUUCCAUGCUUUUACUGAUUUUUUGGAGCUAAAUGACCNNNNNNNNNNCUAACUUCAUUUGGUAUUUUUCAUGCUUUUACUGAUUUUUUUGGAGCUAAAUGACCCAGAAAUUGAAAAGCACUACAAAUGAACNNNNNNNNNNUAGAAACUGAAAAGCACUACAAAUGAACUGUUAAUAGGUUGAAAGUUGGCAUGGUAUCAUCAUUUCACCCACAUAGGANNNNNNNNNNCUAAUAGGUUGAAAGUUGGCAUGGUAUCAUCAUUUAACCCACUUAGCAUGUGCUUAAAAGUUGAGAGGGUUGCCGCAAAAACUGGAUGCCCUUCGUGUACAAAUCAGACAAUCUCUUUCGAAGUAUGAGGGUUUCGUACGAAAACUCAUCUGUUACAAAAGGCAUUUCAUUUUUUUGAUCUCAUUUGAACUCCAGACUUUUUGUGUGUUCAAAAUGAACCAUUCAAGGCCACAUCAUCAAUUUUCAACACUUUUUUGACUUCAUAUGGUAUUUUUCAAGAUUUUACUGAUUUUUUGGAGCUAAAUGACCCAGAAAUUGAAAAACACUACAAAUGAACUCUUAAUAGGUUGAAAGUUGGCAUGGUAUCAUCAUUUCACCCACAUAGCAUGUGCUAAAAAGUUGAGAGGGUUGCCGCAAAAACUGGAUGCACUUCGUGUACAAAUCGGACAAUCUCUUUCGAAGUAUGAGGGUUUCAUACGAAAACUCAUCUGUUACAAAAGACAUUUCGAUUUUGCAAACUUAUUUGAACUUCAGACUUCUUGUGUGUUCAAAAUGAACCAUUCAAGGCCACAUCAUCAAUUUUCAACNNNNNNNNNNUUGCUAGAAAGUUGAGAGGGUCCCCGCAAAAACUGGAUGCACUUCCUGUAAAAUCGGACAAUCUCUUUCGAAGUAUGAGGGUUUCAUAUGUGUGACAUCCUCGACUUUUGCUACAGUGAUCAUUGUAAUUAAGCUAAAGUGAUGACCAUGAUUAGUGCCUAAUCAUUUUGCUAAGCAAGAUAUGGUCCAGUUAAAAAUUCAUAUCUCAAUUUAAUUUUCACUUCAAGAGCCAAUUGAAUUUUAUGGUAAUAAAAUUAAUUCCCCGAACAGCAUUGGAAAAAUGUUGCACAAUUGUGGAAUGAUCCAAAAGACUUAUUAUUACGGAAACAACAUCACCUUUGAUGUUGGUGUGGACCCCACCUAAAUACAAUACCACUUUGCAAUUUAAAGUGCUAUUAAAUUCAAAUAUAAAAUGCAAGCACUUUCCAAAAUUCCUCAAACUUGAUAUGGCCACGUGGAAUAUUGCAAUAUAAUUAUUGCGUCAUGUGGCACAUUUUUGCUAGGGAGAAUUAUUGCAAAAAUAUAACUAAUUAAUAAAUGAAACUGAAAAUAAAAAACAGAAAUAAAACGAAAAAGAAAUAAAAGAAAUAAAAAAAACGCUGGGCCAAACUGGGCCAAAAUGGCCUAGCCGGCCGACCCCCCCGCAGCCGAGUCGAACCCACGGGGUAUUUGAGCCCCCGUGGAACCCUAGCCAGCGCGAGCCCAUUGAUACAUCCAUUUUGCAUCAUGCUUUCAUGUUGAUAUUUAUUGCUUUUUGGGCUUUAUUUCACUUCACGGUACAAUACUUAUGCCUUUUCUCUCUUAUUUUAUAAGGUUUACAUGAAGAGGGAGAAUGCCGACAGCUGGAAUUCUGGUCUGAAAAAGGAGCAAGUUUGAGAUACCUAUUAUGUGCAACUCCAAAAGCCGUGAAAAUCAAUGGGGAAUUAUUUUGGAUUUUAUGAAAAAUACUGGGCGGAAGAAGUACCNNNNNNNNNNNNNNNNNNNNNNNNNNNNNNNNNNNNNNNNNNNNNNNNNNNNNNNNNNNNNNNNNNNNNNNNNNNNNNNNNNNNNNNNNNNNNNNNNNNNUCAUAUUGCAUGAAUUUAUCCCUCUACAUCAUGUCAUCUUGCUUAAGGCGUUACUCCGUUUGUUAUGAACCUAAUACACUAGAUGCAUGCUGGAUAGUGGUCGAUGUGUGGAGUAACACUAGUAGAUGCAGAAAUAUCGGUCUACUUGUCUCGGACGUGAUGCCUAUAUGUAUGAUCAUUGCCUUAGAUAUCGUCAUGACUUUGCACGAUUCUAUCAAUUACUCGAUAGUAAUUUGUUCACCCACCGUAAUACUUGCUAUCAUGAGAGAAACCUCUAGUGAACACUAUAGCCCCCGGGUCUAUUUUAGACAUCAUAUAUUCAGAUCUACAAAAAUACCAGAAAUACCUUGCUGCACUUUUAUUUCUUUUUACCUUUUAUCACCUUCAGAUCUCACCUUGCAAGUAAUCGUGAAGGGAUUGACAACCCCUUUAUCGCGUUGGGUGCAAGUUUGUUAUCUUUUGCGCAGGUUCAUUGGUGCCUCAUCUUGAUACUCCUACUGGAUUGAUACGUUGGUUCUGAAACUGAGGGAAAUACUUAUCUCGACUUUGCGGCAUCACCCUUUCCUCUUCAAGGGAAAAACCAACGCAAGCUCAAGAAGUAGCAGGAAGAAUUUCUGGUGCCGUUGCGGGGGAGUAUUCAAGUGAAGCAUAUCUACCAAGUACCCAUCGCAAACUCAUCUCUUGCAUUUACAUUAUUUGCCUUUUGCCUCUCGUUUUCCUCUUCCCCACUUCUAAAAUGAUUUUCCGAAAAUACCAAAAAUAUUUUCCUUUUUAUUCGCUCUUCUUCCAUUCGCCUUUUGGUUGCUAUGUUUGCUUGUGUUGUCAUGUGCCUUCUAUUUGCUUGCAACUUCGCUUGCUAAAAAUCUAUUGAUAUGGAUCCUCAUCCACUUGCUAAUCUUUUCAAUAGACCAAAUUAUGAUGAACAAAUUGCUAGUGAGUUGAGUGCACUUGACUAUCUCUAUGGAGUUUUGUUUGAAAAUCAUGAAUCUGAAAAUUUUGAUGAAGUGUUGAAAGAAGAAAAUUAUAAAGUGGUUCAUGAUAUGUGCUUGAAUGAAAACCAUGAUUGCCAUGUUGUUAGUAUGAAUUCUCUGAAUAUCUAUGAUGCUAAUGAUAUGCAAAACCACAAGCUUGGGGAUGCUAUGCUUGAUGAAGAUGAUAUUUUUUAUUUCCCAAGUUUUGGUGAUGACCCUUAUGCUAUAAUUGAUCAUGAAAAGAAUGCUUUGUGUGAUAGUUAUAUUGUAAGAUUCUUUCAUGAUGUUACUGAAAAUUACUAUGAGAGAGGAACAUAUGCUUCUACAUAUUGCAAUAAUAUCAAGCUUCCUCUGUAUGUGUUCAAUGUUUUGAAGUUAUGUUUGUUUUGCCUUCCUAUGAUAGUUAAUUCUUGUUCCCAUAAAUUGUUUGCUCACAAAAUCCCUAUGCAUAGGAAGUGGGUUAGACUUAAACGUGUUUUUUUACCAUUCAUGAUGCUCUUUUGCAUAUCUCAACUACUACGUUUUAUGUGAGCAUCAUUGAAAUCGUUAAGCCUAGCUAGGGGCGUUAAACGUUAGUGCUUGUUGGGAGGCAACCCAAUGAAUAAAUUUAUUUUUUAUUUUCACUGUUUUGUUGAGUCCACACCAUCAUGAUUCUGUUAUGAUUGUGUUUUUUAUGUUUUAAUUAGUGUUUGUGCCAAGUAAAACCUUUAUGAUUAGUUUUGGUGAUAGUUGUUUAAUCAUGCUGAAAAAAGACAGAAACUUUGUGCUAACGAAAUUAUUUUUAAUUCUUGUCCACAAAGAGAUUUUGAGUUGAUUCUUUUUUAUGCUGAUUUAUAUGCAAAUUACCCUAAUUGUCAUAAGUUUUUAGAAUUUUUGGGAUAACAGAGGCAUACGAAAUAUACAGAUUACUAUAGACUGUUCUGUUUUUGACAGAUUCUGUUUUUGUUGUGUUGAUUACUUAUUUUGAUGAAACUAUGGUUAUUAUCGGGGGGUACGAGCCAUGGAAAAGUGAGAAUACAGUAAUAUAACAUCAAUCUAAAUAGAAAUCAAGUUUACUAUAAGACCUAAAAAGUUGGUAGUUUGUUUUGUUAUGGUAAUGAUAUCACGAGUUUCUGUUUAAGUUUUGUGUUGUGAAGUUUUCAAGUUUUGGGUGAUGUUCUUAUGGACAACGGAAUAAAGAGUGGAAAGAGAUUAAGCUUGGGGAUGCCCAAGUCAUCCCAAUCCAAAUCCAAGGUCACCAAAAAUCCUAAGCUUGGGAUGCCCCGGGAAGGCAUCCCCUCUUUUGUCUUCAAUCCAUCGGUAACGUUACUUGGAGCUAUAUUUUUAUUUAUCGCAUGAUAUGUGUUUUGCUUGCAGCGUCUUGUAUUAUAGGAGUCUUUGCUUUUUGUUUUAUCACAAUCAUCCUUGCUGCACACCUUUUUGAGAGGGACAUGCACUCAUCGUGAAUUUGUUAGAAUACUCAAUGAGCUUCACUUAUAUCUUUUAAGCUAGAUAAUUUUGCUCCCAUGAGCUUCACUUAUAUCUUUUGAGCUAGAUAAUUUUGCUCUAGUGCUUCACUUAAAUAUUUUUAGAGCACGGCAGUGUCAUAUUUUGUAGAAAUAAAAAUCUCGAUCUUCACUUAUAUCAUUUUGAGAGUGCUCUCUCUAAGUAACUUGGUAAUUGGCAUGUGUUAUGAAAUUAGUCCUAAAUAUGAUAGGCAUCCAAAGAGGAUAUAAUAAAAACUUUCAUAUUCAAGUCCAUUGAUUAGUAAGAGAAGUUUGAUUCCUCACAAUUAGUUUUGAGAUAUGGAUAUGGUAAAAUUAGAGUUAUGUUAGUAGGGUGUUGUGAAUCUAGAAAUACUUGUGUUGAGGUUAGUGAUUCCCGUAGCAUGCACGUAUGGUGAACCGCUAUGUUAGGAAGUCGGGGCAUAAUUGAUUUAUUGAUUGUCAUCCUUUGUGUGGCGGGCGGGAUCGCGCGAUGGUUAACACCUACCAACCCUUCCCCUAGGAGUAUGCGUUUAGCACUUUGUUUUGAUUACUAAUAAAACUUUUGCAAUAAGUAUAUGAGUCCUUCAUGACUAAUGUGAGUCCAUGGUAUAGAUGCACUCUCACCUUCCACCAUUGCUAGCCUCUCUAGUGCCGCGCAACUUUCUCCGGUGCACAAACCCACCAUAUACCUUCCUCAAAACAGCCACCAUACCUGCAUAUUAUGGCAUUUUCAUAGCCAUUCCGAGAUAUAUUGCCAUGCAACUUCCACCGUUCUGUAUCAUGACAUGUGCCAUCACUUUCAUAUUGCCAUUACAUGAUCGUAAGAUAGCUAGCGAAAUGUUUCAACGUCCUACGCUAAGCUAGAUCGUUGCACAUCCCGGUACACUAGCGGAGGCAUUUCAUAUAGAGUCAUUAUUGUUCUAAGUAUCAAGUUGUAAGUAAAUAAAAGUGUGAUGAUCAUCAUUAUUAGAGCAUUGUCACAUGUGAGGAAAUAAAAAAAAGAGGCCAAAGAUGCCCACCAAAAAAAUAAAAAAUANCCAAACAAAAAAAUGAGAGAAAAAGAGAGAAGGGACAAUGCUACUAUCUUUUUCCACACUUGUGCUUCAAAAUGGCACCAUGUUCUUCAUGAUAGAGAGUCUCUUGUUUUGUCACUUUCAUAUACUAGUAGGAAUUUUCAUUAUAUAACUUGGCUUGUAUAUUCCAAUGAUGGGCUUCCUCAAAAUUGCCCUAGGUCUUCGUGAGCAAGCAAGUUGGGUGCACACCCACUAGUUUUGUUUUUGAGAUUUCAUACACUUAUAGCUCUAGUGCAUCCGUUGCAUGGCAAUCCCUACUCAUUCACAUUGAUAUCUAUUGAUGGGCAUCUCCAUAGCCCAUUGAUACACCGAUUUGAUGUGACCAUCUCUUCUUUUUAUUGCCUCACAACCUCCACCACACUCUAUUCCACCCAUAGUGCUAUAUCCAUGGCUCACGCUCAUGUAUUGCGCGAGAGUUGAAAACGUUGAGAAAGUAAGAGUGCGAAAACAAUUACUUGGUCAAUACCGGGGUUGUGCAUGAUUUAAAUUCAUUGUGUGGGGAUGAUGGAGCAUAGCCAGACUAUAUGAUUUUGUAGGGACAACUUUCUUUGGCCUUGUUAUUUCAAAAGUUCAUGAUUACUUUGCUAGUAUGCUUGAAGUAUUAUUGUUUUCAUGUCAAUAUUAAACUAUUGUUUUGACUCUUACAGAUCUGAACAUUCUUGCCACAAUAAAGAAGUUACAAAGAACAAAUAUGUUAGGUAGCAUUCCACAUCAAAAAAUCGGUCUUUAUCACUUCCCUACUCGAGGAUGAGCAGGAGUUAAGCUUGGAGAUGAUUGAUAUGUCUCCAACGUAUCUAUAAUGUUUGAUUGUUCCAUGCUAUUAUAUUAUCAUCUUGGGAUGUUUUACAUGCAUCUACAUGCCAUUUUAUAUCAUUUUUGGGACUAACCUAUUAACUCAGUGCCUAGUGCCAGUUUCUGUUUUUUCCAUGUUUUUGACCUUUUUCACAAAAGAAUAUUAAACGGAGUCCAAACGGAAUAAAACUUGCGGGAUGAUUUUUCCAUAACAGAAGAUACGCACAGGACUUGAGAACCGAGGCGGGAGGUCUCGUGGGUGGUCACGAGCCCCCUAGGCGCGCCCUAGGGGGUCGCCUAGCAGGCUCGUGGGCCCCCCGUGGCUCCUUUGCCCUACCUCUUUCGCCUAUAAAUUCCCAAAAAUCUCGAAACCUCCAGAGAGAGCCACGAAAACACUUUUCCGCCACCGCAAGCUUCUGUCUCCACAAGAUCCCAUCUGGGGACCGUUCUGGUGCCCUGCCAGAGGGGAAUUCAGACACGGAGGGCUUCUUCAUCAACACCAUUGCCUCUCCGAUGAUGCGUGAGUAGUUCACCACACACCUUUGGGUCCAUAGCUAGUAGCUAGAUGGCCUAUUCUCUCUCUUGGAUCUUCAAUACAAAGUUCUCCGUGAUCUUCAUGGAGAUCUAUCCGAUGUAACUUUCUUUUGCGGUGUGUUUGUCGAGAUCCGAUGAAUUGUGGAUUUAUGAUCAGAUUAUCUAUGAAUAUUAUUUGAGUCUCCCCUGAUUUCUUAUAUGCAUGAUUUUGUAUCCUUGUAAUUCUCUUCCUGUUAUGGGUUUCGUUUGGCCAACUUGAUCUAUAAUUCUUGCAAUGGGAGAAGUGCAAGGGGUAGCGAGGCAUGCAUCAUGUUGUUGCCAUCAAGGGUAAAAAGAUGGGGGUUAUAUCAUAUUGCAUGAAUUUAUCCCUCUACAUCAUGUCAUCUUGCUUAAGGCGUUACUCCGUUUGUUAUGAACUUAAUACACUAGAUGCAUGCUAGAUAGCGGUCGAUGUGUGGAGUAAUAGUAGUAGAUGCAGAAAGUAUCGGUCUACUUGUCUCGGACGUGAUGCCUAUAUGUAUGAUUAUUGCCUUAGAUAUCGCCAUGCCUUUGCGCGAUUCUAUAAAUUGCUCGAUAGUAAUUUGUUCACCCACCGUAAUACUUGCUAUCAUGAGAGAAGCCUCUAGUGAACACUAUGGCCCCCGGGUCUAUUUUACACAUCAUAUAUUCAGAUCUACAAAAAUACCAAAAAUACCUUGCUGCACUUUUAUUUCUUUUUACCUUUUAUCACCUUCAGAUCUCACCUUGCAAGUAAUCGUGAAGGGAUUGACAACCCCUUUAUCGCGUUGGGUGCAAGUUUGUUUGCUUUUGCGCAGGUUCAUUGGUGCCUCAUCUUGAUACUCCUACUGGAUUGAUACCUUGGUUCUCAAACUAAGGGAAAUACUUAUCUCUACUUUGGUGCAUCACCAUUUUCUCUUCAAGGGAAAAACCAACGCAAGCUCAAGAAGUAGCAUGAUCUUAAUCAUUUUAUGCAUCUUAUUUUUUUUAGGACGACGGUACCAUUAUAAGAUGGCCCCUUACUAAAAUUCAAGAUAAAAUUGUGUUCUCCUCAAGUGUGCACCGUUUUGAAGUCUCUUCGCUUUGAAGCACCACGUGAUGACCGGGUGUGAUAGCUCUACGUUCGCAUACAACGGGCGUAGGCAGUUUUGUACAUGCGGAACACUUGGGUUAAACUUGAUGAGCCUAUCAUGUACAGACAUGGCCUCGGAACACAGGAGACCAAAAGGUCGAACAUGAGUCAUAUAGUAGAUAUGAUCAACAUGGAGAUGUUCACCAUUGAAACCACCUCGUCUCGUGUGAUGAUCGGACUUGGGUUUGUGAAUUUGGAUCAUGUUACACCCAAACAACCUGAGGGAUAUUGACUUGAGUGGGAGUUCUUAAGUAAUAUGAUUAAUUGAACUCAUUAUCAUGAACAUAGUCUAAGUUUCCUUUGCAAAGUAUGUUGUAUAAGGAUAGCUCGCACCGUAGCUCCCGUGUAUUUAUGAUACGUUCCUAAAGAAAACUAAGUUGAAAGAUGAUAGUAGCAACUAUGCGGACUGGGUCCAUAAACUCAGGAUUGUGCUCAUUGCUACACAGAAGGCUUAUGUCCUUGAUGCAUUACUCGGUGUGCCACCCUAUCAAGUGUCAUAUUUGGAUGUUGUGAACAUCUAACAUACACGUUUUUGAUCACUACUUGAUAGUUCAGUGCGUCAUGGUUUAAGACAUUGAAUUAAGGCUUCAAAUAUGUUUUGAACGCCACGGAGCAUAUGAGAUAUUCCAAGAACUGAAAUUGAGAUUUUAGGCUCGUACCCAUUUUGAGCGGUAGGAGACCUUCGAUGAGAUUCUUUGCCUAAAAGAUGAAGGAGAAUAGAUCAAUCGGUGAGCAUGUGCUCAGAUUGUCUGGGUGCUACAAUCUCUUGAAUCAAGUGGGACUGGAUCAUCCAGAUAAGAUAAUGAUUGACAUAGUUCUCCAAGUCACUACGACCCACCUACUGGAGCUUCAUGAUGAACUAUAACAUGUCAGGGAUGGAGAUGAUGAUCCCUAAGCUAUUCGCGAUGUUUUACACCGCGAAGGCACAAAUCAAGAAGGAGCAUCAAGUGUUGAUGGUUAGUAAAACCACAAGUUUCAAGAAUGGAAAGGGCAAGAAGGGAGACUUUGAGAAUGGCAAGACAGUUGUCGCUUCAGUGAAAAAACCCAAGGUUGAACCCAAACCCGAGACCGAGUGCUUCUAUUGUGAGGGGAACGGUCACCGAAUGCGGAACUGCUCCAGAUACUUGGCAGAUGAGAAGGAUAGAAAUGUCAACAAAAGUAUAUUUGAUAUACAUGUUAUUGACGUGUGACUUACUAGUGCUUGUUGUAGACCCUGGGUAUUUGAUACCGAUUCAGUUACUAAUAUUAGUAAUUCGAAACAGUAGUUGCCGAAUAAAUAGAGACUAACUAAGGACGAGGUGUUCAUGUGUGUUGGAAGUGUUUCCAAGGUUGAUGUGAUCACCAUCGCACGCUCCAUCUACCUUCGAGAAUAGUGAUUAACCUAAAUAAAUGUUAUUUGGUGUCUGCGUUGAGCAUGAACAUUAUAUUGGUUUUGUUUAUUGUGAGACGAUUAUUUAUGUAAGUUAGAGAAUAAUGGGUUAUUCUGUUUACAUGAAUAAUAUCUUAUAUGAUCAUGCACCCAAGAUGAAUGGGUUAUUGAAUCUCGAUCGUAGUGGUACACAUGUUCAUAGUAUUGAUGCCAAAACAUGCAAAGUUUGUAAUUAUAGUACCACUUACUUGUGGCACUGUCGCUUAGGUCAUAUUGGUGUAAAACGCAUGAAGAAGCUCCAUGCUGAUGGAUCUUGGACUCACUCGAUUUUGAUCGCUUGAGACAUGCAAACCAUGCCUAUUGGUGUAAACGCAUGAAGGAACUCCAUACUGAUGGAUCUUUGGACUCACUCGAUUUUGAUCGCUUGAGACAUGCCAACCAUGCCUAUUGGUGUAAAUGUAUGAAGAAAUCCAUGCUGGUGGAUCUUUGGACUCACUCUAUUUUGAAUCGCUUGAGACAUGCGAACCAUGCCACAUGGGCAAGAUGACUGAAGACCUCAUUUCCUAGUGAGAUGGAGCGGGCAAGUGACUUAUUGGAAAUAAUACAUUUUGAUGUAUGCAUUCCAAUGCAUGCUGAAGCACGCAGUGGAUGUCAUUAUUUUCUUACUUCACACAUGAUUUGAGUAAAUACUGGUAUAUUUACUUGAUGAAUCACAAGUCUGAAAUGUUGGAAAGUUCAAGCAAUUUCAGAGUGAAGUUGAACAUUGUCGUGACAAGAGGAUGAAAUGUCUACAAUGUGAUUGUGGGUGUGAAUAUCUAAGUUACGAGUUUGGCAUACAUUUGAGACAAUGUGGAAAUUGUUAUACAACUCAUUCCACCCGGGACACCAUAUUGUGAUGGUAUGUACGUACUUCGUAGCCGUGCCCUAUUGGAUAUGGUGUGUACUAUGAUAUCUCUUACCAAUUUCCAGCUAUCUUUUUUUGGUUAUGCAUUAGAGACAAGCACAUUCAGCUUAGAUUGGGCACCAUAUAAUUUGAGAUGACAGAAUAUGAACUAUGGUUUGGCAAGAAACCCAAGCUCUCGUUUCUAAAAGUUUGGGGUUGUGAUGCUUAUGUCAAAAAGCUUCAACCUGAUAAGUGAUACAUCUCCAUCAUAUCUAUAAUUUUUAAUUGUUCCAUGCCAAUAUUAUCCAACUUUCACAUAUUUUUGGUAACUUUUUCUACAAUUUAUUGGACUAACAUAUUGAUCUAGUGCCAAGUGCCACUUCCUAUUUGUUGCAAGUUUUUUGUUUCGCGGAAUAUCCAUAUCAAAAAAGUCCAAACGCAAUAAAAAUUUAUGCAAAAUUAUUUUGGAAUAUAUGUGAUUUUUGGGAGGUGGAACCAAUGCAAUCGGAGGCCCACGCCCUCCACUGGGCACUAGGGCUCAACCCAUUCCCCCUGGCGCGGGGUGGUGCCUAGUGGCCACCCCGUAAGUUGGUUGCGGCUCUUCAUGCGGUGCAGGAAAGCUAAUUUAUGGAUAAAAAUACCCUCAAAAUGGCAGUCCAGUCGGAGUUAAGGAUCUCUGGGAAUUUCACAAAGAGUGAAGGAACAAAAAACAUGAACUCGAAACAGAAGAGAACAAAGAGGGAGACCUAAUCUCGGAGGGGCUCCUGCCCGUCCGCUGCCAUGGGGGUCAUGGACUAGAGGGGGAACUCUCCUCCCAUCUAGGGGAGGCCAAGGAAUAAGAAGGAGGGGGCUCUCUUCACCUCUCUCCCGGUGGCGCCGGAGUGCUGCUCGGGCAAGGAGUGUGACGACGAUCUACAUCAACAAUCUUGUCGUCGUCAACACCAAAUCUCCCCCUCUAUGUACCCGUGUAACACCUAUUUUCCCGCUCUAACUCUCUACUUAAACAUGGUGCUCAACACUACACACUAUUUCCCAAUGAUAUGUGGCUAUCCUAUGAUGUUUGAGUAGAUCCAUUUUUUCCUACGGAUUAAUUUUGAUACAAUGUUAUUGAUAUGAUUUUUGUGUUGAUAUGGUGAUGUCCUAAGGUGCCUUUCGUGAGGCCCACACGUGAAGGAUACACACUGGAGGUUCUGCAAUAUGUUCAUGAUUCUCUUAUAGUGGGUGACGAGAGUGAUAGAAACUUACACCCGAGUAAGAGAGUUGUGCGUGUAUGGGAGUAAAGAGGACUUGAUGUUUAAUGAUAUAGUUGGGUUUACCUUAAUGAUUUCUAGUAGAUGCGAUUGCUUACUAGAGUUCCAAUCAUAAGUGCAUAUGAUCCAAGUACGGAAAGUGUGUUAGCGUAUUCCUCUCCCUCAUUGCACAUGAUAAGUAUCUAUCAUGUAAUAUUCAAUUGCCUAUGGACAAUAUUUUCCUUGUGUUACACAAAAAAGAUUUCUACUAAACAAACCCUAAAUUUUAUUUACUUGCUCUUUAUUUUUCCGCAAAGUAGUUUCAUACUUGUUCUGGGUAAAGUAAGCGUUUGUGUGCGUAGAGUUGUAUCAGUGGUCGAUAGAAAUUGAGAGAAUAUUAAUUCUACCUUUAGCUCCUUGUUGGGUUGGACACUCUUACUUAUCAAAAAAGGCUACAAACGAUCCCCUACACUUGUGGGUUAUCAAUACCUUUUUCUGGCGCCAUUGCCGGGGAGCAAUAGCGGGAGGUGAAUAUUCUCGUGUGUGCUUGUUUGCUUUAUCACUAAGUAGGUUUUAUUUUGUUCUUAUUUUCUAUCUUUAGUUAUGGGCAGGAAACACAAAAUACCAAAAAAAAAUGGUUGUACCUACCGAACCAACGGUUGAAGAGCCACCAAAAAUCUAUCAUACUGUUGAGCUUUUUUACUUGGAUCAUCUUCGACCCCUAUGUGCUUGUGCAGAAACCCCAACUAGUUUAGUUGAGUGCAAAUCAUUAGAUGAGCAUGCUUAUUAUGUGCGACGCUUCUUAUCUCAAAAAGGGACACUUUUAUGGCAUCAUAUUAAUACUUUGCAUUGCUAUGCUUGGAAUUUAUGUGAAAUUCAUGAUUUUACUUGUUGUUCUAAAUACCCUAAAAAACACCUUCCCUACCAAUGUGAGUUUAGUGAUAAUGGAAUCUUAUCAUCUUUUCCUAAAGGUGUUUAUAGUUAUUAUGAUGUUGAAAUUUUUUAAGAAUUUGUUGCUAAAGGUGUUUAUAGUUAUUAUAAAACACUUGUGGGUUAUGAAAUAGAUUCUUUGAUUGAAAAGUAUGAUGCUACUCUUUGCAAAUAUGAAAUUUUUUCCAUACUUAAAUAUUGCUUUAAAAACUAUGCUUCUAAUUGUUAUGUCAAACUAUAUAAUGAGGACUCCUCUGGUGUCCAAGAAGAUACUAAUAUUUUGCACGAGUCUAUGGAUGAAGAAAUUGAUGAAACUGCGAGCCCAUUAGAUGAAAAAGAUGAUGAGCAGAGUGAAGAACAAAAGGAGGAAGAGCGGAUUAGCUACCCGUGCCCAGCUUCUAAUGACAGUAAAUCUUCAACUCAUACAAUGUCUAAUUUCCCUUUGUGCUUACCGAAGGAUGAAUGCUAUGUUGAUUGCUAUGAUCCCCUGGAUUCGUUUGAAAUAUCAGUUUUAAUUAAAUAGAUGCUUGCUAUGCUUGUGGCCAUGAUGCCAAUAUGAAUUAUGCUUAUGGAGAUGAACUUGCUAUAGUUCCUUAUGUUAAGCAUGAAAUUGUUGCUACUGCACCCACACAUGAUAGUCAUAUUAUCUUGUUAAUUCUCCCAACUACACUAUUUCGGAGAAGUUUUCUCUUAGUAAGGAUUAUAUUAUUGGGUUGCGUUUUACCACUUCACAUGAUGGUUUUGAUGGAUAUAAUAUGCAUAUGCUUGCUGCUCCUACUUUCAAAAUUAUGAGAGAGUAACCAAAUCUUCACCUCUCUAUGUUCCCAAUACGAUAAAAUUGCAAGAAACUACUUAUGCUAUGUAUUGGCCUUUACUUUGUGUGAAUGAAUUGUUCUUUCAUGACAUGCCGAUGCAUAGGAAUAGAGUUAGACUUCGUCAUUGCAUGAUAUAUGUUGCUUUGUGCUCACUACUAAAUUACCAAUCAUUGUUAAUUAAAAUUGGCGUUGAUAUACCUUGGGAUCGGGGUGGAUCCAUUACUUGAACACUUUAUGCCUAACUUAAUGGAUUUAAAAAAAGCGUUGUGAGGGAGGCAACCCAGAAGUUUUAGAGAGUCAUUUAUUUUUAUGUGUGCUUUUAAAAUAUUUAAAAACAAAAAAAAAGUGAACUUAAAACUUUUUCAAAAACAAAAGUGAAAGUGAGAAGUACGAGCACCGUUGAAGUGGGGGCUAGCCUUGAACUUUAUUCAUGCCCAGGGAAACAUUGUGAAUUUCGAUUACAGAAACUUUUCAACAAAAAGAAUUAUCCCCAUGUAUAAAUACCAUUGUAUUAUAAAAAUAAUGUGCCAAUGUUUUCCUUUAGGAUGAUUAGGUUUCUUGUUGGUAUGUGCGGUGCAGAAAUAUAAACUAUGGUUGUACUGCGUGAAUUAAUUUUUACAUAGUAAUGCUAUGAAAUUUUUUUAUUUCAUCCUAAUUGUUAAGAAGUUUUUAAGUUACAGAAGUAUGGUGAAUGUUCAGAUUACUAUAGACUGUCCUGUUUUGAAAGGUUUUGUUUUUUAUGCCUAGCUUUGCUCGUUUUGAUGAAACUAUCGAUUCUAUCGAUGAUAUAAGCCAUGGAGAAGUUCUAUUACAGUAGCUAUAAUGCAAAAAAUGAAUGGGUUUUCAAUAGUACUUAAGGAGGUAAUUUGCAUUAUUAUACUAACAGAUCUCACGAGUUUUCUGUUAAGUUUUGUGUGGACGAAGUCUUUGAAGUUCGAGGAGGUCUCGAUAUGAGGAAAUUAAGGAGAUGCAAUAGUUCAAGCUUGGGGAUGCCCAAGUCACACCAAGUAAUUAUCCAAGGUGACUCAAGCAUCUAAGAUUGGGUAUGCCCUGGAAGGAAUACCAUCUUUCUUCAACAAAUAUCGGUAUGUUUUCGGCUUUGUUUUGUUCAUGUGAUAUGCGUAAAUCUUGGAGCCUCUUUUGUGUUUAGUUUUCAUUUUUAUUUUUUGCACCAUGCUGGUAUGAGAUAGUCCAUGAUCGAUUUAUAGAAUGCUUAUUGCGCUUCACUUAUAUCUUUUGGGUAUGGCUUUAUAGAAUGCUUCAUGUGCUUCACUUAUAUCAUUUGAAGUUUGGAUUGCGUGUUUCCCUACAUAUAGAAAACCGUUAUUUGUAGAAUGCUCUUUUGGUUCACUUAUAUUUAUUAGAGCGUUUUAUUUUUUAGAAAGAAUUAAACUCUCAUGAUUCAAUUAUAUCUCUUUCGAGAGUCAAAAGGAAUUGGUCAUUUACAUGGUUAGUCAUAAAAUCCUACAUAAAACUUGUAGAUCACAAAGUAUGAUAUGUUUGAUUCCUUGCAAUAGUUUUGCGACAUUAAGAUAGUAGUAUGUGGGUGCACUAGUUGGUGAUUGUGUAUUAGUAAGAAUAUUGAUGUUAAUGUUUGUGAUUCCUGAAGCAUGCAUGUAUAGUCUCUAGUUAUGAGAUGGAGUUGGAGCAUAAUUGAUCCUUGAUUGAAUUCCUUUGUGAUGUUAUAAUCAGAGUCACGCGAUGGUCAACUCCUCCCAACCUUAUCCCUAGGGCAUGCGAUUAGUGCUUUUCUUUAAGAGAGGUAAUAAAAUCUUGCAAUAAUUACGUGAGUUCUUUGUGACUAAUGUGAAUCCAUAGAUAUACGCACUCUUACCUUUCCGCAAUUUGCUAGCCUCUACAGUACCGUGCAUUGCCCUUUCUCGCCUCGAGAUUCGGUGCAAACUUCGCACAUGCAUCCAUAUCCCGUGACAUGAUACGUUCCGUUGCACAUAAGCCUUAUUAUAUAUUCCUCAAAACAGCCACCAUACCUACCUAUUAUUGCAUUUUCAUAGCCAUUCCGAGAUAUAUUGCCAUGCAACUUCCACCACUUCCAUUUUGAUGACUUGAGAUUUCAUUAUCAUAUUACUUUGCAUGAUUGUAAGAUAGAUAGCAUGAUAUUUCCAUGUAUUUUCCAUUUUUUGAUGUUUGUGCUAUGUUAGAUCAUUGCACAUCCUGGUACACUGCGAGAUGCAUUCAUGUAGAGUCAUAAUAUUGAGUUGUAACUAAAUAGAAGUGUGAUGACCAUCAUUAUUCAUUAUUAGUGCAUUGUCCGAGUGAGGACAGGAUGAUGGAGACUAUGAUUUCCCCACAAGUCGGGACGAGACUNNNNNNNNNNNNNNNNNNNNNNNNNNNNNNNNNNNNNNNNNNNNNNNNNNNNNNNNNNNNNNNNNNNNNNNNNNNNNNAAAAGGAAAAAAUGAGAGAAAAGAGAGAAGGGGCAUGCUAAUUCCAAACUUGUGCUUCAAAGUAGCACCAUGUUUUUCAUAUGGAGAGUCUCCUAUGUUGUCACUUUCAUAUACUAGUGGGAAUUUUUAAUUAUAGAGUUUGAUGCACACCCACAUAGUUUUCAUAUUGAUCUUUCAUACACUUAUAACUCUUAGUGCAUCCAUUGCAUGGCAAUCCCUACUCGUCGCAUUGGUAUCUAUUGAUGAGCAUCUCCAUAGCCCGUUGAUAUUCUGAGUUGAUGCGAGACAUUAUUUCUCACUUUUACCCCUUUGAAACCUACCACCAUAUUCUAUGCCGCCUUUAUGUUAUAUCCAUGGUUCACACUCAUGUAUUGAGUAAGUAUAAAAAGCUGAAGUGCGUUAAAAAGUACGGUCCAAUUGCUUGGUUUGACACCAGGGUGCUCAUGAUUUAUACCUUAUGCAAGGAAAACCAAGCAUGACAAGCUAUAUGAUUCUGUAGGGAUAGCCUUAUUUGGUAUUGUUAUUUUCAAAGUACAUGAUUGUUCGCUAGUAAACAUGAGUAUGGAUGUCUUUCUGUCAAAUGAUAGACUAUUGCCUUGAGUCGCUCGUAUUUUUAUAUUCAUGCCAUGAUUUGAUAUAUGAUCAAGAUUAUAUUAGGUAGAAUUCGACAUCAAAAAUUAUCUUUUUAUCAUUUACCUACUCGAGGACGAACAUAAAUUAAGCUUGGGGAUGUUGAUACAUAUCUGUCAUAUCUCCAAUUUUUUAUUGUUCCAUGCCAAUAUUAUGCAACUGUCACAUAUUUUUGCCAACAUUUUAUAUGAUUUACUGGACUAACAUAUUGAUCCAGUGCCAAGUGCCAGUUCCUGUUUGUUGCAUGUUUUUUGAUUCACUGAAUAUCUAUAUCAAAUGUAGUCCAAAGGCGAUACAAAUUUAAGGACAAUUAUUUUGGACUAUAUAUGAUUUUUGGGAGGUGAAAUCAACGCAAACGGAAGCCCACGGCAUCCAUUAGGCACGAGGGCGCGUCCCAUAGCCCCUGGCGCGGCGUGGUGCCUAGUGGCCACGCCAUAAGUCAGUUGUGGCUCUUCUCACUGCAGAAGAAAGCUAAUUUACGGAUAAAACUCCCCUCAAAAUUUCAGCCCGAUUAGAGUUAAGGAUCUCUGGAUAUUUCAAAAACGGUGAAGGGCCAAAAAACAGUAGCGAAAACAGUAGAGAAACAAAGACAGAGAUCCAAUCACAGAGGGGCUGCUCACCUCCAGGAGCGAUGGCAGACAUGGACCAGAGAGGUAAUUCUCCUCCCAUAUAGGGGGGAGACCAAGGAAUAAUAAGAAGGAGGGGGCUCUCUUCCCCUCCCUCCCGGUGGCGCCGGAGCGCCGCCGGGGCAACCAUCGUGACGGUGAUUGAUGACCCACAAGUAUAGGGGAUCUAUCGUAGUCCUUUCGAUAAGUAAGAGUGUCGAACCCAACGAGGAGCAGAAGGAUGUGACAAGUGGUUUUCAUCAAGGAAAUCUGUGCAAGCACUGAAAUUAUCGGUAACAAGUAGUUGUGUGACAAGAAGAUUCGUAGCAAGUAGCAAGUAACAAAAGUAACAACGGUGCAGCAAAGUGGCCCAAUCCCUUUUGUAGCAAGGGACAAGCCUAGACAAACUCUUAUAGGAGGUAAAGCACUCCCGAGGACAUAUGGGAAAUUCUGUCAAGCUAGUUUUCAUCAUGUUCAUAUGAUUCGCGUUCGCUACUUUGAUAGUUUGAUAUGUGGGUGAACCGGCGCUUGGGUACUUCCCUUACUUGGACAAGCAUCCCACUUAUGAUUAACCCCUCUCGCAAGCAUCCGCAACUAUGAAAGAAGAAUUAAGACAAAGUCUAACCAUAGCAUUAAACUAGUGGAUCCAAAUCAGCCCCUUACGAAGCAACGCAUAAACUAGGGUUUAAGCUUCUGUCACUCUAGCAACUGCUACUGCAACAAAAGACCUUCCAACGGCCCCAGAAAUAGGAGUGUUGCUUGAUACUCCUCAGCAACGGCACCAGGAAUCCUUCUGUUGUGGCUACGCCUUAAGGGACUUCCUAGGCAAGUAUGCAAAGGAUUUACCCCGUGGCCUUGGAGCCUUGCGUUGGUGUUCCCUCGAAGCGAAAAGGGUGAUGUAGCGUAGCGGUGGUAAGUAUUUCCCUCAGUUUGAGAACCAAGGUAUCAAUCCGGCGGAAGAGUAUCUCAAGAUCCUGCACAAACAAAAAAGCUUGCACCCAACGCUAUGAAGGGGUUGUCAAUCCCUUAUAGAUUGUUUGCCAAGUGAGAACUGAAAGCAAGAAAGUAACAAAGCAAAGUAAAAGUGGAGGUGUAAACGAUGGAUGUGAGUAGACCCGGGGGUCGUAGUGUUUACUAGUGGCUUCUCUCAUCAAAGCAAGUAGACGGUGGGUGAACAAUAUACUGUUGAGCAAUUGAUAGAACUCUGCAGAGUCGUGACGAUAUCUAUGCAAUGAUUAUUUCUAUAGGCAUCACGUCCGAAACAAGUAGACCGAUACUGUUUGCAUCUACUACUAUUACUCCACACGUCGACCGCUAUCCAGCAUGCAUCUAGUGUAUUAAGUCCAUAAGAACAGAGUAACGCCUUAAGCAAGAUGACAUGAUGUAGAGGGAUAAUCUCAAACCAAUGAUAAAAACCCCAUCUUUUUACCCUUGAUGGCAACUGCUUGAUGUGUGCCUUGCUGCCCCUACUGUCACUUGGAAAGGUCACCACAUGGCAGAACCCAAAACCAAGCACUUCUCCCAUUGCAAGAAUCAUAGAUCUAGUUGGCUAAACAAAACCCAAGACUCGGAGAGACUUACAAGGAUAUCAAACCAUGCAUAUAAGAAAUCAGCAAAGACUCAAAUAUAUAUCAUAGAUAAUCUGAUCACAAGUCCACAAUUCAUCGGAUCUCCACAAACACACCGCCAAAGAAGAUUACAUCAGAUAGAUCUCCAUGAAGAUCAUGGAGAACUUUGUAUUGAAGAUCCAAGAUAGAGAAGAAGCCAUCUAGCUACUAACUACGGACUCGUAGGUCUGAAGUGAACUACUCACGAGUCAUUGGAGGCCCGAUGAUGACGAUGAUGAAGCCCUCCACCUCCAAAGUCCCCUCUGGCAGGGCGCCGGGAAGGGUCUCCAAAUGAGAUCUCGCGGAAAUGGAAGCUUGCGGCGGCGAAAAAGUAUUUUCGAGGCUCCCCUGAUUUUUUGCGGAAUAUUUGGGAAUAUAUAGGCGCAAAACCUAGGUCAGGAGGCGGCCAGGGAAGCCACAAGCUUGCCCACCGCCGCCUCCCCCCUGGUGGCGUGGUGCAAGCUUGUGGGAUCCCUCGGGCCCACCUGGCUUGGCCCAAAGGCUCCCUCGUCUUCUUUCGUUCGGAAAAAAAAUCAUUUCGGGGAUUUUAUUCCGUUUGGACUCCGUUCCAAAAUCAGAUCUGAAAAGAGUCAAAAACACGAAAAAACAGGAACUGGCACUUGGCACUGAAUCAAUAAGUUAGUCCCCAAAAAGAUAUAAAAAGGUACAUAAAACAUAGAAAGAAGACAAGAUAACAGCGUGAAACCAUCAAAAAUUAUAGAUACGUUUGAGACGUAUCAAGCAUCCCCAAACUUAACUCCUGCUUGUCCUCGAGUAGGGAAGUAAUAAGAAUGAAUUUUUUAUGCUUUCAUGCUACCUAGCAUAGGUGUCCUUUGUAAUUCCUCUUAUGUGACGUGAAUGUUCAGAUCCAUUAGAUUCAAAACAAUAGUUUGCUAUUGACGUGGAAACAAUAAUAAUUCAAGGAAACUAGCAAAGUAAUCAUGAACUUUCAAAAUAACAAGGCCAAAAGAAAGUUAUCCCUACAAAAGCAUAUAGUCUGGCUAUGCUCUAUCAUCAUUACACAACGAAUUUAAAUCAUGCACAACUCCGGUAUUGGCCAAGUAAUUGUUUCACACCUUUACUUUCUCAAACAUUUUCAACUCUCACGCAAUACAUGAGCGUUAGCCAUGGUUAUAGUACUAUAGAUGGUGUGGAAUGUGGUGGAGUUUGCAAGACAAAAAGGAGAAGAUAGUCACAUUAACUAGGCAUAUCAAUGAGAUGUGGAGAUGCUCGUCAAUAGAUAUCAAUGUGAAUGAGUAGGGAUUGCUAUACAAAUGAUGCACUAGAGCUAUAAGUACGUGAAAGCUCUUAAAUAAAACUAGUGGGUGUGCAUCCAACUUGCUUGCUCACGAAGACCUAAGGCAAUUUUGAGGAAGCCUAUCAUUGGAAUAUACAAGCCAAGUUAUAUAAUGAAAAAUUCCCACUAGAUAUAUGAUGGUGACAAAACGAUAGACUCUCAGUCAUGAAGAUCAUGGUGCUCAAAAUGCACAAGUGCGGAAAAAAAAUGGUAGCAUUGUCCCUUCUCUCUUUUUCUCUGGGGGGGGUUUUAUUUUGGUGGGCUCUUUGGCCUCUUUUUUAUGGGCUUCUUUGGCCUCUUUUAUUUCCUCACAUGGGACAAUGCUGCAAUAAUAAUGAUCAUCACACUUUCAACUCAAAACUUAGAGCUAUUAUGACUCUAUAUGGAAUGCCUUCGGUAGUGUACCGUGGCAAUAAUCUAGCAUGGCAUAGACAUCAAUGGAAACAUCAUGCUAGUUAUCUUACGAUCAUGCAAUGGCAAUGUAGACGUGGUGGCACAUAUCAUGGUGGUAGUUGCAUGGCAAUAUAUCUCGGAAUGACUUUGAAAAAGCCAUAGUAGGUAGGUAGGUGGCUGUUUUGAGGGAGGCUAAUGGUGGGUUUUGUGCACUGGCAAAAGUUGCACGGCACUAAGAAGAUAGUGAUGGUGGAAGGUGAAAGUGCAUCUAAACCAUGGACUCAACAUUAGUCAUGAAGAACUCAUAUACUUGUUGCAAAAGUUUUAUUAGUAAUCGAAACAAAGCAUUCAACGCAUACUCCUAGGGGAAGGGUUGGUAGGUAUAAACCAUCGCGCGAUCCCGACCGCCACGCAAAGGAUGACAAUCAAUAGACUAAUCAUGCUCAGAUUUCAUCACAUAGCGGUUCACCAUACGUGCAUGCUACAGGAAUCACUAACUUCAACACAAGUAUUUCUAGAUUCACAAUACCUCACUAGCAUGAUUUCAAUAUUACCAUAACCACAACUCAAAACUAAUUGAGAUGAAUCAAACUUCUCUAACUAUUCAAUGCACAUGAAGGAGGAAGUUUUCGUAUCCCUUUGGAUAACUACCCCUUUUGAGACUACUUUCAAAGCAUAGAUCAACUACCAAUCCAUGCACGCUGCGCUCUAAAAGAUAUAAGUGAAGCACAUAGAGCAAAAGUAUCUAGCUCAAAAGAUAUAAGUGAAGCACAUGUGAGCUGAAUUGUCUACCAAAAGAUAUAAGUGAAGCUCGACAAAAUCACGGUGUGUGCAUGUCUCUCUCUCUAGGUGUGCAGCAAGGAUGAUUGUGACACAACAAAAAUAAAAGACUCCUACGAUACAAGACGCUCCAAGCAAAAACACAUAACAUGUGGUGAAUAAAAAUAUAGCCCCAAGUUACGUUACCGAUGGAUUGAAGACGAGAGAGCGGAUGCCUUCCCGGGGCCUCCCCAAGCUUAGGCUUUUACGGCAUCCUUGAAUCUAUUGGGGUUCCUUGGGCAUCCCCAACCUUGAUCUCUUGCCACUCUUUAUCUUUUUGUCCAUAAGAACUUCACCCAAAACUUGAAAACUUCACAACACGAAACUUAAACAGAAACUCCUGAUAACAUUAGUACAAGAAAGCAAACCACCACUUCCUUAGGUACUGUAGAAAACUUAAAUUCUACUUGUGCUGAUGUUUGGUUACUGUACUUUCAAUCUUCCAUGCCUAAUACCCCCCGAUACUAUCCAUAGUUUCAUCAAAAUAAGCAACCAACACAACAAAAACAGAAUCUGUUAACAGCAGACCAAUCCGUAGCAAUCUGUAUGUUUCGUAUACCUCUGGUACUUCAAAUAUUAUGAAAAAUUACGACAGUCUGAAGAAUUUGCGUAUAAAUAAUAAUAAAAAAGAAUNGAAAAAGAAUCAAAUCAAAAUCUCUUACAGAAAAAAAUGAAAAUUAUUUUCGUGAGCAGAAAGUUUCUGUCUUUUCCAGCAUGACCAAACGAUCAUCCUCAAGACUAAUCAUAACGGUUUUGCUUGGCACAAACGCAAAAAGAAACACAAAAAACACAAUCAUGACAGAAUUAUGAAAGUGUGGAAAACACAAAACAGAAAGAAAAAGGAUAGAUUCGUUGGGUUGCCUCCCAACAAGCGCUAUUGUUUAACGCCCUUAGCUAGGAAUUCAAUGAUGCUCUCACAAAAGACAAGAAUUGAAGCACAACGAGAGCAUCCUAAAGCAUGUGAAAAUCACAUCUAAGUCUAACAUACUUUCUAUGCAUAGGCAUUUUAUAGGAAAGCAGAUUGUCAAGACAACCAAUAGUUGUCAUAUGCAAGGAAGAAGAAAGAGACAAUAGCAAUCUCCACAUAACGAGAGGUGAUUUGGUAACAUGAAAGUUUCUACCAAAAUAUUUUCCUCUCUCAUAGCAAUUACAUGUGGGAUCAUAUUCAAAUUCAACAAUAUAGCUAUCCCAUAGGAUAUUCUUUUCAUGAUCCACAUGCAUGCAAAGUUGACGCUCUUCAAAAAUAGUGGGAUUAUCAUCAAAUAAAGUCAUGACUUCUCCAAUCCCACUUUCAAUAUUGUUGCAAAUAUCAUAUUCAUCAUGAGGUUUGAACAAAUUUUCAAGAUCAUAAGAAAGAUCAUCACCCCAAUCAUGAUUAUUGCAAUAAGUAGUGGUCAUAGCAAAGCUAGCAUCCCCAAGCUUAGGGUUUUGCAUAUUUUUAGCAUGAUUGUCACUAAUAGGAUUUAUAGUAAAAGCAUUGCAAUCAUGCUUUUCAUCCAAGGAGCCCUCAUGAAUCACUUCAUGAAUUUCUUCCUCACAGUUUUAAGAUUCACGCAUCUUACGCAAAACUCCAAAGAAAUAGGCAAUUUCCCUCAACUCAAUAGCAAUUUGUUCCACACGAGUGGGUCUCUUAAAGAGACUAGCAAGUGGAUGAGGAUCCAUAUCACUAGAUUUUCAGCAAGCGAAGAUGCAAGAAUAUUGAGGGCACAUGGCACACAAGUGAACAGAAAGCAAGCGAGAGAAAAGAACGAACGAAAAAGGCAAAGGAGAAAACGGCAAAUGUGAAGUGGGGGAGAGGAAAACGAGAGGCAACUCGCAACAAAAGUAAAUGCAAGAGAUGAGUUUGUGAGACCUACUUGGAUAGAUCUUGAUUUCUCUUCCCUCGCAACGGCGCCAGAAAUUGGCACGUUGUCAGGAGAAUAUUCUUGACGAUCCUAUUCCCCAGCAACGGCGCCAGAAAUUCUUCUGCUACUGCAACAACAGACCUUCCAACGGCGCCAGAAAUAGGAGUGUUGCUUGAUACUCCUCAGCAACGGCACCAGGAAUCCUUCAGCUGCGGCUACGCCUUAAGGGACUUCCUAGGCAAGUAUGCAAAGGAUUUCCCCUGUGGCCUCGGAGCCUUGCGUUGGUGUUCCCUCGAAGAGGAAAGGGUGAUGUAGCCUAGCGGUGGUAAGUAUUUCCCUCAGUUUGAGAACCAAGGUAUCAAUCCAGCGGAAGACUAUCUCAAGAUCCUGCACAAACACAAAAGCUUGCACCCAACGCUAUGAAGGGGUUGUCAAUCCCUUAUAGAUUGUUUGCCAACUGAGAACUGAAAGCAACAAAGUAACAAAGCAAAGUAAAAGCGGAGGUGUAAACGAUGGAUGUGAAUAGACUCGGGGGCCGUAGUGUUUACUAGUGGCUUCUCUCAUGAAAGCAAGUAGACGGAGAGUGAACAAAUUACUGUCGAACAAUUGAUAGAACUGUGCAGAGUCGUUACGAUAUCUAUGUAAUGAUUAUUUCUAUAGGCAUCACGUCCGAAACAAGGAGACCGAUACUGUCUGCAUGUACUACUAUUACUCCACACGUCGACCGCUAUCCAGCAUGCAUCUAGUGUAUUAAGUCCAUAAGAACAGAGUAACGCCUUAAGCAAGAUGACAUGAUGUAGAGGGAUAAUCUCAAACCAAUGAUAAAAACCCCAUCUUUUUACCCUUGAUGGCAACUGCUUGAUGUGUGCCUUGCUGCCCCUACUGUCACUUGGAAAGGUCACCACAUGGCAGAACCCAAAACCAAGCACUUCUCCCAUUGCAAGAAUCAUAGAUCUAGUUGGCUAAACAAAACCCAAGACUCAGAGAGACUUACAAGGAUAUCAAAUCAUGCAUAUAAGAAAUCAGCAAAGACUCAAAUAUAUAUCAUAGAUAAUCUGAUCACAAGUCCACAAUUCAUCGGAUCUCCACAAACACACCGCCAAAGAAGAUUACAUCGGAUAGAUCUCCAUGAAGAUCUUGGAGAACUUUGUAUUGAAGAUCCAAGAGAGAGAAGAAGCCAUCUAGCUACUAACUAAGGACCCGUAGGUCUGAAGUGAACUACUCACGAGUCAUUGGAGGGGCGAUGAUGAUGAUGAAGAAGCCCUCCACCUCCAAAGUCCCCUCCGGCAGGGCGCCAGGAAGGGUCUCCAGAUGAGAUCUCGCGGAAACGGAAGCUUGAGGCGGCGGAAAAGUAUUUUCGAGGCUCCCGUGAUUUUUUGUGGAAUAUUUGGGAAUAUAUAGGCGCAAAACCUAGGUCAGGAGGCGGCCAGGGAAGCCACAAGCUUGCCCACCGCCGCCUCCCCCCUGGUGGCGUGCUGCAAGCUUGUGGGCUCCCUGGGGCCCACCUUAUUGGAAAUAUGCCCUAGAGGUAAUAAUAAAUUAGUUAUUAUUAUAUUUCUUUGUUCAUGAUAAUCGUUUAUUAUCCAUGCUAUAAUUGUAUUGAUUGGAAACACAAUACUUGUGUGGAUACAUAGACAAAACACUGUCCCUAGUAAGCCUCUAGUUGACUAGCUCGUUGAUCAAAGAUGGUCAAGGUUUCCUGACCAUAGGCAAGUGUUGUCACUUGAUAACGGGAUCACAUCAUUAGGAGAAUCAUGUGAUGGACUAGACCCAAACUAAUAGACGUAGCAUGUUGAUCGUGUCAUUUUGUUGCUACUGUUUUCUGCGUGUCAAUUAUUUGUUCCUAUGACCAUGAGAUCAUAUAACUCACGGACACCGGAGGAAUGCUUUGUGUGUAUCAAACGUCGCAACGUAACUGGGUGACUAUAAAGAUGCUCUACAGGUAUCUUCGAAGGUGUUCGUUGAGUUAGUAUGUAUCGACACUGGGAUUUGUCACUCCGUGUGACGGAGAGGUAUCUCGGGGCCCACUCGGUAAUACAACAUCACACACAAGCCUUGCAAGCAAUGUGACUUAGUGUAAGUCACGGGAUCUUGUAUUACAGAACGAGUAAAGAGACUUGCCGGUAAACGAGAUUGAAAUAGGUAUGCGGAUACUGACGAUCGAAUCUCGGGCAAGUAACAUACCGAAGGACAAAGGGAAUGACAUACGGGAUUAUAUGAAUCCUUGGCAGUGAGGUUCAAACGAUAAGAUCUUCGUAGAAUAUGUAGGAUCCAAUAUGGGCAUCCAGGUCCCGCUAUUGGAUAUUGACCGAGGAGUCUCUCGGGUCAUGUCUACAUAGUUCUCGAACCCGCAGGGUCUGCACACUUAAGGUUCGACGUUGUUUUAUGCGUAUUUGAGUUAUAUGGUUGGUUACCGAAUGUUGUUCGGAGUCCCGGAUGAGACCACAGACGUCACAAGGGUUUCCGAAAUGGUCAAGAAACGAAGAUUGAUAUAUAGGAUGACCUCAUUUGAUUACCGGAAGGUUUUCGGAGUUACCGGGAAUGUACCGGGAAUGACGAAUGGGUUCCGGGAGUUCACCAGGGAGGGCCACCCACCCCGGGGAAGCCCAUAGGUAUUGGCGGUGUCGCACCACCCCUUAGUGGGCUGGUGGGACAGCCCAAAAGGGACCUAUGCACAUUGGGAAGAAAAUCAAAGAGAAAGAAAAAAAAGGAAGGAGGUGGGAAGGAUAGGAAGGACUCCCACCCACCAAACCAAGUCCAACUCGGUUUGGGGGGUAGACCUUCCCCCCCCCCCUUGGCUCGGCCGACCCCUUGGGGGUUCUUGGACCCCAAGGCAAGGCUCCCCCUCUCUCUCCUAUAUAUACUGAGGUAUUAGGGAUGAUUUGAGACAACUUUUUCCACGGCAGCCCGACCACAUAUCUCCACGGUUUUACCUCUAGAUCGCAUUUCUGCGGAGCUCGGGCGGAGCCCUGCUGAGACGAGAUCAUCACCAACCUCCGGAGCGCCGUCACGCUGCCGGAGAACUCUUCUACCUCUACGUCUCUCUUGCUGGAUCAAGAAGGCCGAGAUCAUUGUCGAGCUGUACUUGUGCUAAACGCGGAGGUGCCGUCCGUUCGGCACUAGAUCGUGGGACUGAUCGCGGGAUAGUUCGCGGGGCGGAUCGAGGGACGUGAGGACGUUCCACUACAUCAACCGCGUUUCUUAACGCUUCUGCUGUGCGAUCUACAAGGGUGCGUAGAUCGGAAAUCCCCUCUCGUAGAUGGACAUCACCAUGAUAGGUCUUCGUGCGCGUAGGAAAAUUUUUGUUUCCCAUGCGACGUUCCCCAACAGUGGCAUCAUGAGCUAGGUUCAUGGGUAGAUGUCUUCUUGAGUAGAACACAAAAGUUUUUGUGGGCGGUGAUGUGCGUUUUGCUGCCCUCCUUAAUAUUUUCUUGAUUCCGCGGUAUUGUUGGAUCGAAGCGGCUCGGACCGACAUUACUCGUACGCUUACGAGAGACUGGUUUCAUCGCUACGAGUAACUCCGUUGCUCAAAGAUGACUGGCGGGUGUCAGUUUCUCCAACUUUAGUUGAAUCGGAAUUGACCGAGGAGGUCCUUGGAUGAGGUUAAAUAGCAACUCAUAUAUCUCCGUUGUGGUGUUUGCGUAAGUAAGAUGCGAUCCUACUAGAUACCCAUGGUCACCACGUAAAACAUGCAACAACAAAAUUAGAGGACGUCUAACUUGUUUUUGCAGGGUAUGCUUGUGAUGUGAUAUGGACAACGAUGUGAUGUGAUAUAUUGGAUGUAUGAGAUUAUCAUGUUGUAAUAGAUAAUAUCGACUUGCACAUUGAUGGUACGGCAAUCGGCAGGAGCCAUAGGGUUGUCUUUAUAACUAACGUUUGUGCUUGCAGAUGCGUUUACUAUUUUGCUAGGAUGUAGCUUUAGUAGUAAUAGCAUGAGUAGCACGACAACCCCGAUGGCGACACGUUGAUGGAGAUGAUGAUGAUGGAGAUCAUGGUGUGACGCCGGUGACAAGAAGAUCGUGCCGGUGCUUUGGUGAUGGAGAUCAAGAAGCACAUGAUGAUGGCCAUAUCAUGUCACUUGUGAAUUGCAUGUGAUGUUAAUCCUUUUAUGCACCUUAUUUUGCUUAGAACGACGGUAGCAUUAUGAGGUGAUCUCUCACUAAAAUUUCAAGACGAAAUUGUGUUCUCCCCGACUGUGCACCGUUGCUACAGCUCUUCGUUUCGAGACACCACGUGAUGAUCGGGUGUGAUAGACUCAACGUUCACAUACAACGGGUGCAAAACAGUUGCACACGCAGAACACUCGGGUUAAGCUUGACGAGCCUAGCAUGUGCAGACAUGGCCUCGGAACACAUGAGACCGAAAGGUCGAGCAUGAAUCGUAUAGUUGAUAUGAUUAGCAUAGAGAUGCUUACCACUGAAACUAUUCUCGACUCACGUGAUGAUCGGACUUGAGAUAGUGGAUUUGGAUCAUGUACCACUCAAAUGACUAGAGAGAUGUACUUUUUGAGUGGGAGUUCUUAAGUAAUAUGAUUAAUUGAACUAAUUGUCAUGAACAUAGUCUAAUGGUCUUUGCGAAUUACGAUGUAGCUUGCGCUAUAGCCCUACUGUUUUUUAUAUGUUCCUAGAGAAAAUUUAGUUGAAAGUUGAUAGUAGCAAACUUUGCAGACUAAGUCUGUAAAACUGAGGAUUGUCCUCGUUGCUACGCAGAAGGCUUAUGUCCUUAAUGCACCACUCGGUGUGCUGCACCUCGAGCGUCGUCUGUGGAUGAUGUGAACAUCCGACAUACACGUUUCUGAUGACUACACGAUAGUUCAGUGCAAAAUACUUAAUGGCUUAGAAGCAAGGCGCCGCAAACGUUUUAAAACGUCACGGAACAUAAGUGAUGUUCUAAAGAGAUGAAAUUGUGAUUUCAUGCUUGUGCCCUUGUUAAGAGGUACAAGACCUCCGACAAGAUUCUUUGUCCACAAAGUAAAGGAGAAAAGCUCAAUCGUUGAGCGUGUGCUCAGAUUGUCUGAGUACGACAAUCGCUUGAAUCAAGUGGGAGUUAAUCUUCCAGAUGAGAUAGUGAUGGUUCUCCAAAGUCACUGCCACCAAGUUGUGAGAGCUUCGUGAUGAACUAUAACAUAUCAAGGAUAGAUACUAUGAUCUUUGAGUGAUUCGCAAUGUUUGACACUGCGAAAGUAGAAAUCAAGAAGGAGCAUCAAUAGUUGAUGGUUUGUAAAACCACUAAGUUUCGAGAAAGGCAAGGGAUAGAAGGGAUACUUCGUGAAACGGAAAAACAGUUGCUGCACUAAUGAAGAGACCCAAGAUUAAACCCAAACCUGAGACUAAGUGCUUCUGUAAUGAGGGGAACAGUCACUGAGGCGGAGCAACUCUAGAUACUUGGUAGAUAAGAAGGCUGGCAAAAGUCGAAAGAAGUAUAUUUGAUAUACAUGAUGUUGAUGUGUACUUUACUAGUACUCCUAGUAGCACGAGGGUAUUGGAUACCGGUUCGGUUGCUAAGUGAUUAGUAACACGAAAUAAAAGCUACGGCAUAAACGGAGACUAGCUAAAGGCGAGGUGACGAUACGUGUUGGAAGUGUUUCCAAGGUUGAUAUGAUCAAACGUCGCACGCUCCCUCUACCAUCGGGAUUGGUGUUAAACCUAAAUAAUUGUUUGGUGCUUGCGUUAAGCAUGAACAUGAUUGGAUCGUGUUUAUUGCAAUACGAUUAUUCAUUUAAAAGAGAAUAAUGGUUACUCUGUUUGCUUGAAUAAUCACCUUCAAUGGUUUAUUGAAUCUCGAUCAUAGUGUUACACAUGUUCAUAAUAUUGGUGCCAAAAGACACGAGGUAAUGAUGAUAGUACCACUUACUUGUGGCACUGCCGCUUGAGUCAUGUUGGUAUAAAUUGCAUGAAGAGGCUCCAUGCUGAUGGAUCUUUACACUCACUUGAUUUUGAAUCACUAGUGACAUGCAAAUCAUACCACAUGAGCAAGGCCUUGUUUUCAUUGAGAUGAAACAAGAUAAUAACUUGUUGGAAGUGAUACAUUUUGAUGUAUGCAAUCCAAUGGGUGCUGAGGCACGCAGUGGAUAUCAUUAUGUUAUUACUUCAAUGACGAUUUGAGUAGAUACUAGAGUAUUUACUUAAUGAAUCACAAGUUUGAAAUAUUGAAAAGUUCAGUUCUGUUUCGGAGUGAAGUUCGUCGUAACAAGAGGAUAAACUGUCUACGAUAUGAUCAUAGAAAUGAUUAUUUGAGUUACGAGUUUUGGUACGCAGUUAAGACAAUGUGGAAAUUGUUUCGCAGUUCAUGCCACCUAGAACAUCAUAGUGUGAUGAUGUGUCUGAACGUCAUAGCCACGCACUAUUUGGUAUGGUGCAUGCUAUGAUGUCUCUUAUCGAAUUACCACUAUCGUUUAUGGGUUAUGCAUUAGAGACAACCGCACUCACUUUAAAUAGGGCACCACGUAUUUCCGUUGAGAUGACACAGUAUAGACUGAGGUUUAGAGAAAUCUAAACUGUCGUUUCUUGAAAGUUUGGGGCUUCGACACUUAUGUGGAAAAGUUUCAGUCGGAUAAGCUCGAACCCAAAGCGGAUAAAUGCAUCUUCAUAGGAUAUCCAAAACAGUUGGGUACAUCUCCUAUCUCAGAUCCGAAAGCAAAGUGUUUGUUUCUAGAAACGGAUCCUUUCUCGAGGAAAGGUUUCUCUCGAAAGAAUAGAGUGGGAGGAUGGUAGAACUUGAUGAGGUUAUUGAACCAUCACUUCAACCAGUGUGUAGCAGGGCGCAGGAAGUUGUUCCUGUGGCGCCUACACCUAUUGAAGUGAAAGCUGAUGAUGGUGAUCAUCGAGCAUCGGAUCAAGUUACUACAAGCCUCGUAGGUUGACAAGGUCGCGUACUACUACAGAGUGGUAGGUAACCCUGUCUUGGAGGUCAUGUUGUUGAGCAACAGUGAACCUACGAGUUAUGAAGAAGCAGUGGUGGGCCCGGAUUCCGACAAAUGGCUUGAGGCCAUGAAAUCCGAGAGAGGAUCCAUGUAUGAAAACAAAGUGUGGACUUUAGAAGAACUACUUGAUGGUCAUAAGACUAUUGAGUAAAAAUGGAUCUUUAAAGGAAGACAGACGAUGAUGGUGAUAAGUCACUAUUAAGAAAAGCUCGACUUGUCGCAAAGAUGUUUUCGACAAGAUCAAACAGUUGACUAUGAUGAGACUUUCUUACUCAUAGCGAUGCUAAAGGUCUGUUAGAAUUAUGUUAGUAGUUGAUGCAUUAUUUAUGAAAUAUUGCACGUAGGAUGUCAAAACAUUGUUUCCUCGACGAUUUCCUUGAGCAAACAUUGUAUGUGAUACAACCAGAAGGUUUUGUCGAUCCUAAAGAUAAUAGCAAGUAUGCAAGCUCCAGUGAUCCUUCAAUGGACUGGUGCAAGCAUCUCGGAGUUGGAAUAUACACUUUGAUGAGAUGAUCAAAGAUUUUGGGUUUGUACAAGGUUUAUGAGAAACUUGUAUUUCCAAAGAAGUGAGUGGGAGCACUAUAGAAUUUCUUAUAAGUGUAUGUGGUAGACAUAUUGUUGAUCAGAAGUAAUGUAGAAUUUCUGUAAAGCAUAUAAGGUUGUUUGAAAGGAGUUUUCAAAGGAAUACCUGGAUUGCGCUACUUGAACGUUGAGCAUCAAAGAUCUAUGGAGAUAGAUCAAAAGCGCUUAAUGAAAGUUUCAAUAAGAUGCAUGCCUUGACAAGUUUUUGAAGGAGUUCAAUGUAGAUCAGCAAAGAAGGAGCUCUUGGUUGCAUUGUAAGGUGCGAAUUUGAGUAAGACUCAAAACCCGACCCCGGCAGAAUAAAGAGAAUAGGCGAAGGUCGUCUUCUAUGCCUUGGUCGUAGAAUCUGAAGUAUGCCAUGCUGGGUACCGCACCUGAUGUGUGUCUUGACUCAAAGUCUAUUGAGAGGUACAGAGAGUGAUCCAUGAUUGAAUCACUAGCAGCGGUCAAAAUUUAUCCUUAGUAACUGAUGGACUAAGGAAUUUUUCUCGAUUAUGGAGGUGGUUAAAGAGUUCGUCGUAAAGGGUUGCGUCGAUGCAAGCUUUGACACUAAUCCGAAUAACUAUGAGUAGUAAAACGGAUUCGUAUAGUAGAGUAGAUAUUUGGAGUAUUUCCGAAUAGCACAUAGUAGCAGCAUCUAUAAGAUGACAUAAAGAUUUGUAAAGAACACACGGAUCUGAAAGUUUCAGAACCGUUGACUAAAACCUCUCUCACGAGAAAGACGUGAUCAGACCCCAUAACUAUAUGGGUGUUGGAUUCUUUCCAGCACAUUGGGAUCCUAAGCUUAGAAUNNNNNNNNNNNNNNNNNNNNNNNNNNNNNNNNNNNNNNNNNNNNNNNNNNNNNNNNNNNNNNNNNNNNNNNNNNNNNNNNNNNNNNNNNNNNNNNNNNNNNNNNNNNNNNNNNNNNNNNNNNNNNNNNNNNNNNNNNNNNNNNNNNNNNNNNNNNNNNNNNNNNNNNNNNNNNNNNNNNNNNNNNNNNNNNNNNNNNNNNNNNNNNNNNNNNNNNNNNNNNNNNNNNNNNNNNNNNNNNNNNNNNNNNNNNNNNNNNNNNNNNNNNNNNNNNNNNNNNNNNNNNNNNNNNNNNNNNNNNNNNNNNNNNNNNNNNNNNNNNNNNNNNNNNNNNNNNNNNNNNNNNNNNNNNNNNNNNNNNNNNNNNNNNNNNNNNNNNNNNNNNNNNNNNNNNNNNNNNNNNNNNNNNNNNNNNNNNNNNNNNNNNNNNNNNNNNNNNNNNNNNNNNNNNNNNNNNNNNNNNNNNNNNNNNNNNNNNNNNNNNNNNNNNNNNNNNNNNNNNNNNNNNNNNNNNNNNNNNNNNNNNNNNNNNNNNNNNNNNNNNNNNNNNNNNNNNNNNNNNNNNNNNNGCCUUGCAAGCAAUGUAACUUAAUGUAAGUUGCGGGAUCUUGUAUUACGGAACGAGUAAAGAGACUUGCCGGUAAACGAGAUUGAAAUAGGUAUGCGGAUACUAACGAUCGAAUCUCGGGCAAGUAACAUACCGAAGGACAAAGGGAAUGACAUACGGGAUUAUAUGAAUCCCUGGCACUGAGGUUCAAAUGAUAAGAUCUUCGUAGAAUAUGUAGGAUCCAAUAUAGGCAUCCAGGUCCCACUAUUGGAUAUUGACCGAGGAGUCUCUCGGGUCAUGUCUACAUACUUCUCGAACCCGCAGGGUCUGCACACUUAAGGUUCAACGUUGUUUUAUGCGUAUUUGAGUUAUAUGGUUGGUUACCGAAUGUUGUUCGGAGUCCCGGAUGAGAUCACGGACAUCACGGGGGUUUCCGGAAUGGUCCGGAAACGAAGAUUGAUAUAUAGGAUGACCUCAUUUAGUUACCGGAAGGUUUUCGGGAGGGGUGCGGACCAUCGGGAGGGGUGUCACGCCCCAAGGGGUCUCAUGGGCUAUGGGAAGAGAUAAACCAGCCCCUAGUGGGCUGGAAUAAGUUCCCACUAAGGCCCAUAAGGUUUGAGAAGGAAAAAACACAAGGUGGAAAGAGUUUCCAAGUGGGAAGGUGGAAUCCUACUCCAAGUAGGAUUGGAGUAGGACUCCUCCACCUCCAAUUUCAGCCAAACCUUUAGGUUUUGAGGCUGCCUCCUCCCCUCCCUCCCACCUAUAUAUACGGAGGUUUUAGGGCUGAUUUGAGACGACUUUUCCACGGCAGCCCGACCACAUACCUCCAUGGUUUUUCCUCUAGAUCGCGUUUCUGCGGAGCUCGGGCGGAGCCCUGCUGAGACAAGGUCAUCACCAACCUCCGGAGCGCCGUCACGCUGCCGGAGAACUCUUCUACCUCUCCGUCUCUCUUGCUGGAUCAAGAAGGCCGAGAUCAUCGUCGAGCUGUACGUGUGCUGAACGCGGAGGUGCCGUCCGUUCGGUACUAGAUCGUGGGACUGAUCGCGGGAUUGUUCGCGGGGCGGAUCGAGGGACGUGAGGACGUUCCACUACAUCAACCGCGUUCACUAACGCUUCUGCUGUACGAUCUACAAGGGUACGUAGAUCACUCAUCCCCUCUCGUAGAUGGACAUCACCAUGAUAGGUCUUCGUGCGCGUAGGAAAAUUUUUGUUUCCCAUGCGACGUUCCCCAACAAAAUAUAGUCACCGGAGUUUUUUUAGCUCACCCCAUGAGUGAAAAGCUACCCCCGAUCAUGUGUUGGAAUGUUAGAGGGCUAAACCAUCCAGCAAAGAGGGAAUCAGUGUGCGCGAUGGCAAAAUCAUUGCGAGCAGCAAUUUUGUGCCUACAAGAGACAAAGAUAGACGCAUGGACACCACAACUAGUGCAGGAGAUAGGAGGAACACAACUCACAGAAUGCAUCGCUCUUCCGGCGAUCGGCACGAGCGGGGGGGCGGCAAUCCUAUGGAAUAAAGAGCUCGCCACAAUAGUUUCACAUGCGGUAGGAAUUUUUGCGAUCACUGCAAAGGUCACCCUGCUAGGACAGACCCAGCCUUUAUGGCUAUCCUCGGUCUAUGGACCAGCGGACGAUGCCAGGAAGGAGGCGUUCCUCCGCGAGCUAUCCUUCUCUNNNNNNNNNNNNNNNNNNNNNNNNNNNNNNNNNNNNNNNNNNNNNNNNNNNNNNNNNNNNNNNNNNNNNNNNNNNNNNNNNNNNNNNNNNNNNNNNNNNNAGGCCUCGGGGACUUACACUGCCAACUCAGCAUACAAAGCCCAAUUCCUAGGAAGAACAACGUCGGAAAUCAGCAACUUUACAUGGAAGACUUGGGCACCGCAAAGGGUCAAGAUAUUCAUAUGGCUGCUGACAAAAAAUAGGCUCUGGUGCAACGACAGAUUGCAAAGAAGGGGCUGGCAAAACAGCUACUUCUGUCAGCUAUGCCUCAGAAAUUUAGAAUCAGCAGAUCAUCUCUUCUGGAAAUGCAACGUCGCAACAACAGUAUGGGGGGAGACGGCAUCUCGCACCGGAUGCGCCUCACUAAGCCCAACAAUUUGGGCCCACAACAAAACAGCCAGAGAGAUCAUCACCACAAUGAUAAGCAAGGCAAGACCAGAGUACAAAAAAGGAACCAGGACAAUGAUCGCGCUCGUUCUAUCAGAAAUCUGGAAAGAGAGGAAUGAGUGCACUUUCAGAAACAAAACAGCAAGAGCAGCAAGCAUAUCCACCUCCAUCUCUACAACUCUCCAGUCUUGGAGGCAAGCAGGAGCAGUUUUCCUAGAGCACCCGUUUGGGGAAAUUACGUGAGGAGUACGGCGUCUGUGCCAGGCUAUCUUGGCUUUCAUAAUUUUUUCCGCGGUUUUCUUCCUGUUAUGUCCUUUUGAUCUUUUGAUCAACCCCACAAUUUUGUAUUCCCGCCAUGCUUCCUGCUAUCUAAAUAUAUACCAGCCAGCAGCUGGAUCUUUUUAAAAAAAAAAAACCGGGCCGAUCCGCGGAGGGGAAAAGUGACAGUCGGAGCCGUAACGUCACCGUCGGUGACGGCCAUACCCAUACGGGCAUACGCCCCCACGCUCAUGUGAUAUGAUCCGCACCGACGCCAGCUGCGAACGUUGAUGCUGGAUCCGUGACUGCAACGACGGCAUACACCGUGUCACGGGAAGCAGGCAAACACACGUACGAACAGUGCGGUAGGCCGGCUACUCUUGCUGUGAACCAAAUUCACGAGUAGUGCUUUUUUAGUAGCCAAUGCAUAGCUCAAGAUAACGCCCGUCUGCCAUCUAGGAUCACAUAUAGGUUUGGAUGAUGUAAUGAAGUUCUUAAAGCAUCUUUAGCAAAUCUCGUAAUACCGACUCGUAUAAGGUGCUUACAGUUUGACGAAGAUAUGUUUUGCGAGGCGAAAUCAUGUACUAUAGAAUAGACCCCGCAUAUGAAAUUGUAUAAUUUUAAAAAAACUUUCAUAGAAGAAAUUGCAACCACAUUGAUCAUUCAUAUACAUGAUCAUACAUACAUACUACUACUACUAGAGGGGGUGGGGGGUCUCGCAGCGGCGAGGCCGAGGUUGAUGUACCAAAAUGGACGAGCUCGUGGUCAAGGACGACGCGGUGGAGGAGCUCAGUACUCCUCGUCGGAGCUCACGAGGUCGAUGAACUUCUCCCUCUGCUCCCCACGGAUGCGCCGCCAUCCGUCAUCCUUGUCCUUGGCGGUGAGGUUGGUCGCGACCGCCUGCUUGAACACGAGGUCUUCAAGCUCCUUGUCGUGGCGGCGGCCCUCCGUCUCCUCGCGCAAGCUCCGUUCGGAUAUGGCGGUCGCGACCGCGUCGACAUCGUCGCCGACGUAAUCUUCGGGUCCGACAACGCCUCGACGCGCGAUCUCCUUCGGCUCCUGCUUGACGGUGACAAGCUCGCGGUCCUCCGGCUCAUCCGCCCACUCCCUCUUCACGGGGAGAAGGGCCGCGCUAGACCCCCCCCCCCCCGCCCGCGGUCGAGGAGNNNNNNNNNNNNNNNNNNNNNNNNNNNNNNNNNNNNNNNNNNNNNNNNNNNNNNNNNNNNNNNNNNNNNNNNNNNNNNNNNNNNNNNNNNNNNNNNNNNNUUCCAACAAGAUCUAUUCUUCACAUGAUUCGACAUGAUUCAAGAAAUGCCAACAAGAUCUAUUCUUCACAUGAUUCGACAUGAUUCCACAUGUUUCGACAUGAUUCAAGAAAUUCCAACAAAAUCUAUUCUUCACAUGAUUCGACACAUGAAACAUAACAUCUCAUAUAGAUCCACACUAAAAACAUAGUCUUCAUGAACCAUUCAAGGCCACAUCAUCAAUUUUCAACACUUUCGGACUUCAUUUGUUAUUUUUCAUGCCUUUACUGAUUUUUUGGAGCUAAAUGACCCAGAAAUUGAAAAGCACUACAAAUGAACUCUUAAUAGGUUGAAAGAUGGCAUCGUAUCAUCAUUUCACCCACAUAGCAUGUGCUAAAAAGUUGAGAGGGUUGCCGCAAAAACUGGAUGCACUUUGUGUACGAAUCAGACUAUCUCUUUCGAAGUAUGAGGGUUUCAUACGAAAACUCAUUUGUUACAAAAGGAAUUUCAUUUUUUCGAAAUCAUUUGAACUCCAGACUUUUUGUGUGUUCAAAAUGAACCAUUCAAGGCCACAUCAUCAAUUUUCAACACUUUCUAACUUCAUUUGGUAUUUUUCAUGCUUUUACUGAUUUUUUUGGAGCUAAAUGACCCAGAAAUUGAAAAGCACUACAAAUGAACUCCUAAUAGGUUGAAAGUUGGCAUGGUAUCAUCAUUUAACCCACUUAGCAUGUGCUUAAAAGUUGAGAGGGUUGUCGCAAAAACUGGAUGCCCUUCGUGUACAAAUCAGACAAUCUCUUUCGAAGUAUGAGGGUUUCGUACGAAAACUCAUCUGUUACAAAAGGCAUUUCAUUUUUUUGAUCUCAUUUGAACUCCAGACUUUUUGUGUGUUCAAAAUGAACCAUUCAAGGCCACAUCAUCAAUUUUCAACACUUUAUGCCUUCAUUUGGUAUUUUUCAUGCUUUUAGUGAUUUUUUGGAGCUAAAUGACCUAGAAAUUGAAAAUCACUUCAAAUUAACUCUUAAUAGGUUGAAAGUUGGCAUGGUAUCAUCAUUUCACCCACAUAUCAUGUGCUACAAAGUUGAGAGGGUUGCCGCAAAAACUGGAUGCGCUCCAUGUACAAAUCGGACAAUCUCUUUCGAAGUAUGAGGGUUUCGUACGAAAACUCAUAUGUUACAAAAGACAUUUCAUUUUUUCGAACUCAUUUGAACUCCAACCUUUUUGUGUGUUCAAAAUGAACCAUUCAAGGCCACAUAAUCAAUUUUCAACAUUUUCUGACUUCAUUUGGUAUUUUCCAUGCUUUUACUGAUUUUUUGGAGCUAAAUGACCCAGAAAUUGAAAAGCACUACAAAUGAACUCCUAAUAGGUUGAAAGUUGGCAUGGUAUCAUCAUUUAACCCACUUAGCAUGUGCUUAAAAGUUGAGAGGGUUGCCGCAAAAACUGGAUGCCCUUCGUGUACAAAUCAGACAAUCUCUUUCGAAGUAUGAGGGUUUCGUACGAAAACUCAUCUGUUACAAAAGGCAUUUCAUUUUUUUGAUCUCAUUUGAACUCCAGACUUUUUGUGUGUUCAAAAUGAACCAUUCAAGGCCACAUCAUCAAUUUUCAACACUUUAUGCCUUCAUUUGGUAUUUUUCAUGCUUUUAGUGAUUUUUUGGAGCUAAAUGACCUAGAAAUUGAAAAUCACUUCAAAUUAACUCUUAAUAGGUUGAAAGUUGGCAUGGUAUCAUCAUUUCACCCACAUAUCAUGUGCUACAAAGUUGAGAGGGUUGCCGCAAAAACUGGAUGCGCUCCAUGUACAAAUCGGACAAUCUCUUUCGAAGUAUGAGGGUUUCGUACGAAAACUCAUAUGUUACAAAAGACAUUUCAUUUUUUCGAACUCAUUUGAACUCCAACCUUUUUGUGUGUUCAAAAUGAACCAUUCAAGGCCACAUAAUCAAUUUUCAACAUUUUCUGACUUCAUUUGGUAUUUUCCAUGCUUUUACUGAUUUUUUGGAGCUAAAUGACCUAGAAACUGAAAAGCACUACAAAUGAACUGUUAAUAGGUUGAAAGUUGGCAUGGUAUCAUCAUUUCACCCACAUAGGAUGUGCUAAAAAGUUGAGAGGGUUGCCGCAAAAACUGGAUGCACUUCGUGUACAAAUCGGACAAUCUCUUUCGAAGUAUGAGGGUUUCAUACGAAAACUCAUCUGUUACAAAAGACAUUUCGAUUUUGCAAACUUAUUUGAACUUCAGACUUCUUGUGUGUUCAAAAUGAACCAUUCAAGGCCACAUCAUCAAUUUUCAACACUUUUUUGACUUCAUAUGGUAUUUUUCAAGAUUUUACUGAUUUUUUGGAGCUAAAUGACCCAGAAAUUGAAAAACACUACAAAUGAACUCUUAAUAGGUUGAAAGUUGGCAUGGUAUCAUCAUUUCACCCACAUAGCAUNNNNNNNNNNNNNNNNNNNNNNNNNNNNNNNNNNNNNNNNNNNNNNNNNNNNNNNNNNNNNNNNNNNNNNNNNNNNNNNNNNNNNNNNNNNNNNNNNNNNAGAGGGGCGCCACCAGGAGGCCACAAACCUGCCAGGCCCGGCCUACCCCCCUGGCCGGGCCUGGGUGGCUUGUGGGCCCCCUGUUGCCCCUCCGGCACUCAUCUUUUGCUAUAUGAAGGGUUUCGUCCGAGAAAAAAAUCAGAAGAAAGCUUUCGGGAGGAGCCGCCUCCGCCACGAGGCGGAACUUGAGCAGAACCAAUCUAGAGCUCCGGCAGGACGAUCCUCCCGGGGAAACUUCCCUCCCGGAGGGGGAAAUCAUCGUCAUCGUCAUCACCAACACUCCUCUCAUCGGAGGGUACUCAUCACGAUCAACAUCUUCAUCGGCACCAUCUCAUCUCCAAACCCUAGUUCAUCACUUGUAACCAAUCUCCGUCUCGCGACUGUGAUUGGUACCUAUAAUGUUGCUAGUAGUGUUAAUUACUCUUUGUAGUUGAUGGUAGUUGGAUUACUUGGUGGAAGAGUUUAUGUUCAGAUCUUUGAUGCUACUCAUUACCUCUCUGGUCAUGAAUAUGAUUAUGCUUUGUGAGUAGUUACUUUUGUUCCUGAGGACAUGGGAUAAUUCAUGCUAAUAGUAGUCAUGUGAAUUUGGUAUUCGUUCGAUAUUUUGAUGUGUUGUAUGUUGUUUUUUCCUCUAGUGGUGUUAUGUGAACAACGACUACAUAACACUUCACCAUUAUUUGGGCCUAGAGGAAUGCAUUGCGAAGUAGUAAAUAGAUGAUGGGUUGCUAGAGUGACAGAAGCUUAAACCCUAGUUUAUGCGUUGCUUCGUAAGGGGCUGAUUUGGAUCCACUAGUUUAAUGCUAUGGUUAGACUUUGCCUUAAUUCUUCUUUCGUAGUUGCGGAUGCUUGCGAGAGGGGUUAAUAAUAAGUGGGAUGCUUGUCCAAGUAAGGGAAGUACCCAAGCGCCGGUCCACCCACAUAUCAAACUAUCAAAGUAACGAACGCGAAUCAUAUGAACAUGAUGAAAACUAGCAUGACAGAAAUUCCCGUGUGUCCUCGGGAGCGUUUUUCCUCCUAUAAGACUUUGUCCAGGCUUGUCCCUUGCUACAAAAGGGAUUGGGACACUUUGCUGCACCGUUGUUACUUUUGUUACUUGUUACUUGCUACGAAUCAUCUCACCACAUAACUACUUGUUACCGAUAAUUUCAGUGCCUGCAGAUAUUACCUUGCUGAAAACGACUUGUCAGAUCCUUCUGCUCCUCGUUGGGUUCGACACUCUUACUUAUCUAAAGGACUAAGAUAGAUCCCCUAUACUUGUGGGUCAUCAAGACUCUUUUCUGGCGCCGUUGCCGGGGAGUGAAGCGCCUUUGGUAAGUGGAAAUUGGUAAGGAAACAUUCAUAUAGUGUGUUGAAAGUUAUUGUCACUUGUCACUAUUGAAACUAAUCCUUUGAGGGGCUUCUUCGGGGUAUCUUCACCUCGAACGGAAGCACAAGGAGUUGCUCCUCAACCUGCUGCACCUACUGAAAAUAUUUGCUUUGAAUUUCCUUCGGGUAUGCUUGAGAAACUGAUGGCUAAUCCUUUUACAGGAGAUGGAACAUCACAUCCAGACUUGUGGUUUAUUUAAGCUUGGAGGUUUACCCGAGGAUGAAGUCAAGAAGAAGGUCUUUCCUUUAUAUUUGAAGGAUAAGGCGUUGACAUGGUAUAGGCUAUGUGAUGAUACUGGAUCAUGGAACUACAAUCGGUUGAAAUUGGAAUUUCAUCAAAAGUUUUAUCCUAUACAUUUAGUACAUCGUGAUCGGAAUUAUAUUUAUUAUUUUUGGCCUCGUGACAGAGAAAGCAUCGCUCAAGCUUGGGGGAGGCUUAAAUCAAUGUUAUAUUCAUGCCCCAACCAUGAGCUCUCGAGAGAAAUUAUCAUUCAGAACUUCUAUGCUCGGCUUUCUCAUGAUGAUUGCACCAUGCUUGACACUUCUUGUAUCGGUUCUUUUAUGAAGAGAGAUAUUGACUUCAAAUGGAAUUAAUUGGAGAGAAUUAAACGCAAUUCUGAAUAUUGGGAGCUUGAAGAAGGUAAAGAGUUAGGUAUGAAUUUCAAGUUUGAUUGCGUUAAAUCCUUUGUUGAAACAAAUACUUUUUGUGACUUUAGCGCUAAGUAUGGACUUGACUCUGAGAUAGUAGCUUCAUUGUGUGAAUCAUUUGCUGCUCAUAUUGAUCUCCCCAAAGAGAAGUGGUUUAAAUAUCAUCCUCCUUUAGAAGUCAAUGUAGUUAAACCCAAUCCAGUUGAGGAGAGAGUCAUUGCCUAUAAUGAUCCUGUUGAUCCCAGUGCUUACAUUGAGAAACCACCUUUCCCUGUUAGGAUAAAGGAUCAUUCUAAAGCUUCAACUGUGAUUCGUAGAGGCUACAUUAGAACACCUACACCCCCUGAGCAAAUUAGAGUUGAACCUAGCAUUGCUAUUAUCAAAGAUCUUCAGUCCGACGAUGUUGAGGGACAUAAUAUUCACUUCUGUGAAGAUGCUGCUAGAAUUGCUAAACCUCACGCUAGAGACAAACAUAGGCCUGUUGUAGGCACGCCUGUUAUUUCUGUUAAGAUAGGAGAUCAUUGCUAUCAUGGUUUAUGUGACGUGGGUGCUAGUGUUAGUGCAAUACCUCGAUCCUUAUAUGAUGAAAUCAAAGAUGAGAUUGCACCUAUUGAGAUAGAGUCUAUUGAUGUCACUAUUCAGCUUGCUGAUACGUCUCCAACGUAUCUAUAAUUUUUGAUGGUUCCAUGCUAUUAUCUUGUCAAACUUUGGAUGUUUUGUAUGCCUUUUAUAUCAUUUUUGGGACUAACUGAUUAACUCAGUGCCAAGUGCUAGUUCCUGUUUUUUCCAUGUUUUUGACCUUUUUCAGAGGAAGAUUUGAAACGGAGUCCAAACGGAAUAAAAUCCCCGAAAAGAUUUUUUCCAAAACAGAAGAAGAUCGGGAGACUUGAGAACCAAGGCAUGGGGUCCACAGGGACCCCACAAGCCCCCUAGCCCCGGUCAGGGGGGAUGCCGGGCCUCCCUGGCUUGUGGGCCUCCGCUGCCCUAGGUUUUGCGCCUAUAUAUUCCCUAAAAUCCCAGAAAAAAAUCAGGAGAUCAUCGAAAAUACUUUUCCGCCGCCGCAAGCUUCUGUCUCCACAAGAUACCAUCUGGGCACGUUCUGGUGCUCUGCCGGAGGGGGGAUUCGGAUACAGAGGGCUUCUUCAUCAACACCAUGACCUCUCCGAUGAUGCGUGAGUAGUUCACCAUAGACAUACGGGUCCAUAGCUAGUAGCUAGAUGGCUUCCUCUCUCUCUUGGAUCUUCAAUACAAAGUUCUCCAUGAUCUUCAUGGAGAUCUAUCCGAUGUAAUCUUCUUCUGCGGUGUGUUUGUCGAGAUCCGAUGAAUUGUGGAUUUAUGAUCAGAUUAUCUAUGAAUCUUAUUUGAGUUUCUUCUGAUUUCUCUUAUGCCUGAUUUCAUAUCCUUGUAAUUCUCUUCUAGUUGUGGGUUUUGUUUGCCCAACUAGAUCUAUGAUUCUUGCAAUGGGAGAAGUGCUUGGUUUUGGGUUCAUACCGUGCGGUGACCUCACCCAGUGACAAAAGGGGUAGCGAGGCACGCAUCGUGUUGUUGCCAUCAAGGGUAAAAAGAUGGGGGUUUCAUCAUUGGUUUGAGAUUAUCCCUCUACAUCAUGUCAUCUUGCUUAAGGCGUUACUCUGUUCGUCAUGAACUCAAUACACUAGAUGCAUGCUGGAUAGCGGUCGAUGUGUGGAGUAAUAGUAGUAGAUUCAGAAAGUAUCGGUCUACUUGUCUCGGACGUGAUGCCUAUAUGUAUGAUCAUUGCCUUACAUAUCGUCAUGACUUUGCGCGGUUCUAUCAAUUGCUCGACAAUAAUUUGUUCACCCACCGUAAUACUUGCUAUUUUGAGAGAAGCCUCUAGUGAACACUAUGGCCCCCAGGUCUACUCCACACCAUAUUUUCAGCCUUACACUUUUACUUCGUUGCACUUUCCACAUUCAGAUCUCACUUUGCAAUCAAUCUUGAAGGGAUUGACAACCCCUUUAUAGCGUUGUGUGCAAGCUCUUUUGUGUUUGCGCAGGUACUCUGGACUUGACGAUUCUCAAGGAGUUAGCACUGAUGCACCUAGUCAUCCUAGGAAGAAGAAGAAAGAUGAUAGGGAUUUGCACGCUAGCAACCCUGUUGCUGCUACACCUGAGAGUCCAAACGAUGUCUCUGUCUCUAAUGCCGAAACACAAUUUGGUGAUGAACAUGAACUUAAUGAUAAUAUCAAUAGUGAUGUUCAUGAAGAUGCUCAACCUAGCAACGAUAAGGAUGUGAAGAUUGAACCUGUUGAUCUUGAUAACCCACAGCCUAAGAAUAGAAGGUACGAUAAGAAUGAUUUCGCUGCUAGGAAGCAUGGUAAAGACAGGGAACUAUGGGUUUAGAAACCAUGCCCUUUCCUCCCAAACCAUCCAACAAAAAGGAUGAUGAGGAUUUUGAGCGCUUGGUUGAAAUGAUUAGACUUGUCUUUCUGCAAAUGCGUUUGAGAUAUAUGCUCAAAAUGUCUCUGUAUGCUAAGUACAUGAAGGAUAUUGUGACUAAUAAGAGGAGCAUACCUGAGGUUGAGAUUUCCACCACACUUGCUAACUAUACCUUCAAGGGUGGAACUCCUAAGAAACUAGGUGAUCCUGGAGUGCCCACUAUACCUUGCUCCAUUAAAGGCAACUAUGUUAGAACUCCUUUAUGCGACCUUGGAGCCGGUGGUAGUGUUAUGUCUCUCUCUCUUUAUCGUAGACUUGAACUGGAUAAGUUGACACCCACUGAAAUCUCUCUGCAAAUGGCCGACAAAUCAACUGUUUUCCCUAUCGGCAUUUGCGAGGAUGUACCUGUUGUGGUUGCGAACAUAACUAUCUUAACAGACUUUGUUAUCUUGGAUAUUCCCGAGGAUGAUGCCAUGGCGGUCAUCCUCCGAAGACCCUUUUUAAACACUGCAGGGGCUGUUAUAGAUUGCAACAAAGGCAAUGUCACUUUCCAUGUCAACGGUAAUGAGCAUACGGUGCACUUUUCGAAGAAACAAUAUCGAGUACAUUGCAUCAAAGCUAUCGAAAAAACUUCAUCAAAUCUUAUUGGGAGCUUUGAAUGCCCUAUCCCUCCUAUUAAGAUGAAGUAUGAUUUGCUUGUUGGGGAGAUACACAUCCCCAUUGAGGUAACCUUGUGACUAUUCAAAAAUUCUCCGUCUGCUUUUGCGAUUCGAAAAGGUUUGUUGAGGAGACUUGAUCAACCUCAUUGACGGAUUUCUUUCGAUGACCAUGAUAUGGAUGAAUCGAGGAGUCACAAACCUCUGUUCCAAGCUUUCACCUUUGGUUGCUUAGAAGAAAAAUGAUAGAUUUAGUUUAGAUUUCCUUGUUUUCUGUUUUAGCGUCCCGUAGAAAAGUACCCCGAAAAUAAAAGUUCUCCGAACAUCCUGAAAAUCAAGUAUGAUUUUUUCUGGAUUUUUUGAAAAAUACUGAGACGAAGAGCUAGUCUGGGGGCUGCACCAGUGGGCCACAAGCCCUGGAGGCGCGGGCACCCCCCUGGCCGCGCCUACCUGGCUUGUGGGGCCCACGUGCACCCCUCCACUCAUUCUAGCUCCCAUCUGCUUCUCCUGCCUCCAGAAAAAAUUGUUUCGCAGCUCAAACCCGUGUUUUUGCUCCUCUUGUUGGGAUUUUCGAUCUCCUUGCUCAAAGCACCAUUCUCCGAACUGUUUUGGGGAAAUUACUCCUUGGUAAGUGACUCCUCCAUUGGUCCAAUUAGUUCUUUCUCUAGUGCCUUAUACUUUGCGUAUUUUUGCUGCCUUGGUGACCUUCUUCUUGAGCUUUGCAUGCUAAUUUAGGUGGUCCCAAGUAGUUUUGAUGCGUAAUAUGACCUCUAGGCACUUGUGGGAGUAGUUGCUAUGAGUUUUGGUGAGCCUUAUUCACUUUUUCUUAGAGUCACUAAAACUUUCAUAAAUUUUCAGAGAUGGAAAAGGCAAAAGAUGAGGAGGUUCUUAAGAGGCUCUUGAAGCCGUGACCCCAAGGAUGAUGGAAGUGAGAAGAAGAAACCCAAGUAUUCGGUCCCUCGAGUCGCAGAAGUUCGAGCGUGCGAGUGGCCAAGCGAUGUGUUUUUACGCGCCGCCGGACUUUAUGAGGACUUUUAUUACUUGGUGGAGAACGCAGCCUUACCGUCUUCGUUGAAGAUAAGUGUCCGCAAUACCUCCUCCUCACUAAUAUCUUCUUACAAAGCUUUAACUUCUAUCCGAGGAAGAAUCCUCGUAUGGUUGAGUUCAAACUUUAUGAUACCCCCCAGCGCAUGUCACUCCAGGAUUUUUGCAAUGUUUGAAAAAUACCUUAUGUUGGGGAUAUUCAUGAACCUCGUCCAUGGGACUUGGAAGCUUUCGUAGAUACAAUUGUUGUAGGAGAGGAAAGAGGAGUGUCUUGCGCUAGAGCUGCUAGCAUACAUUUUCCCAUGCUUCGGUACUUCUCACUAUUUGUGGGUAAAUGUUUGAUUGGCCGUGGGAAAGCUGGGUCACUUAGUUCCCCAAAUCUUGCGGUCUUGCUCAAAGCCCUUUAUAACGAUAAAACUUAUAGCUUGGGCGCUAUAGUAGCUCAAUGGUUGAACAUGAACCGUUCUAAAGGCAUUGUGUAUGGAGGUAUCUAUGCUACUCGUCUUGCUAGACACUUUGAGAUACCUAUUAGACUAGAUUAGGAAGAAGAGAUUCUUCUUCCCGAGAGAUAUCUAGAUUACGAUAGCAUGGUUCGCCAUGACUUUCUUGAUAGAGAUAUAAGUAGAAGGAUGAUUUAUAACCUGGUAUUUAGUGAGGGUACUCGUGAGACUAUUACUUUGCCUCCUCCUUCUUUGUUCAAUCUUCAUGCAGGCAAGUACAUUAUUAUUCCCUCGGACAUCUACGCAUAUUGGCGCUUAGCCCAACCACAGGUGCCCGUGCCAGAGCCACCAGUCGAGUACCAGACGCUAGUUUAUCUGUGGGAGCCGGAGGAGCUCACACGGCAGUGGCAUCCUCAGUCCACUCCGGAGUACCCCGGAGCUGGUUAUUUCCCUCCGUGGGAGUAGACCAACUUAGGCCAAAAGCCUAAGCUUGGCGGAGUAUGUGUUUAUCACCGACUUUACAUUCUUGCUUAUGCUUUCGCUUUCUUCGUCGUUGUUCACACUUUGCCACUGUAUCAUCCAUGCUAGUUUAUUUCUUUUUCUCGUUUUCUUUUCGUGUGUCUGUCAAGUUUAAGAAAACCCAAAAAUAUUUGCUUUUCUUCUUUUGCUUGUUGGGAGCUUUCCCGUGUAAAUAGUUUUCUUUUUCUUUGGGUCAAGGUAGAAGACCAUGGUUACAAUGUUUAGUGGCUCUCUCAUGCAUAUCUGUUUGUCUGUUAAAGAGCCAUAUUACUUUGUCUUAUCCUUUGUGUUUUCCUGCAGAUUCCAGCUUAGUCCAAUGCGCGAGCACUCUUAUUAUUGUUCACAUCAUUCGGUCGUGCAAGUGAAAGGCAAUAAUGACGAUAUAUGAUGAAGUGACUGAGCCUGGAAAAGCUGGUAUGAACUUGAUCUAUUUUGUUUUUGUAAAUAUGACUAGCUCAUCGUGCCGGAUUCAGCUUUGUUGUGAGGGAAACAUGUUUGUAAUGACAACUUAGAUAUCAUAGUUGCUGAUGCCAUGCUUACUUAGCUAGGAGCUUAUAAUGGUUUGUCUUGGAUGCCCACAUGAAUCUUGAGAUGACUAUGAUGUAGUAUGAUAGGAUGUUAUCCUCCUUUGAAUGAUUCAAGUGGCUUGACUUGGCGCAUGUUCAUGCAUGUAGUUGAAAUAAAAUCAACAUAGCCUCUAUGAUAUUCAUGUUCAUGGUGAUUUAUGUCCUACUCAUGCUUGCACUCAAAGUUGGUUAAUCUCAAUGCAUUUUGAUGACAGUUGUCGCUCUCCAGUUGGUCGCUUCCCAGUCUUUUGCUAGCCUUCACUUGUACUAAGCGGGAAUACUGCUUGUGCAUCCACUUCCAUAAACCCAAAGUUGUUCCAUAUGAGUCCACCAUACCUACCUAUAUGCGGUAUCUACCUACCGUUCCAAUUAAAUUUGCAUGUGCCACUCUCUAAAUCUUCAAGAAAUAAUCUGUUUUGCAUGCCCGAACCGCUCAUGUGGUGACAGGGGGCUAUCAGUAUCUUCCAUGUUAGGCGUGUUAUCCUCAAUAUGUGUUUAUUCACUAUCAUUCACAAGAAAGGGGCCGGUAAUUGGAAUUACCAGUUCCAUGCUCAAAUCGAAAAGAUAAUUACAAACAAAACUCCCCCUGGAUUGAUGUUGGUAUGGACGGCACCCGAGGAUUCGGCUAGAAAUGGAGUGUGAUUGAUCGGUGGUGGGGGAGUCAAAACUUUACUUUUCUGUUUGGGAACCGCCUAUAGCAUGUGUAGCGUGGAAGAUGGUGAGAACUUUUAGUCAUUGCGUUGACAAUGAAAGCAUGCCACCCAAAAUUAUUAUCUCUGUUUUCAAAGCUUGAGCUCUGGCACCUCUGCAAAUCAAUGCUUCCCUCUGUGAAGGGCCUGUCUAUUUUGGUUCCUGUUGAGUCAUCCUCCUCUUAUAAAAGCACCAUUUAGAAAGCACCUCUGUCAUUUUUAUGCUUUGCUUUUAACUGUGUUGAGUAUGACUGUGACUGGAUCUUCUUUGCCUUGAAUCACAAUGUUUAGUCAGCCUUUGGUCUUUGAAGGUGCUCUGCAUUUAUGUUUUGCGGUCUCAGAAAGAGCUAGCGAGAUACCAUCUGUUCGUACUGCUUCAUGUUGUUUUGAUUGAAGUGUUGACGUUUGAGACUUAUUAUUAUUUGCUCGCUAGUUGAUUAUGCCAUUGAUAUGAGUUUACCGUGAGACCUAGAUGUCAUUUACUUAUGUGGUUAGCUUGUGAUCUUGCUGAAAUUCUGGUUAUGAGUUAGACAUAGUUGCAACAACAAGAUCAAACAGAGUUCGUCAAAGUUUUUUUUUGUCUCUUUCAGUUUGUCAACUGAAUUGCUUGAGGACAAGCAAGGCUUUAAGCUUGGGGAGUUGAUACGUCUCCAUCGUAUCUACUUUUCCAAACUCUUUUGCCCUUGUUUUCGACUCUAAUUUACAUGAUUUGAAUGGAACUAACCCAGACUAACGCUGUUUUCAGCAGAAUUUACAUGGUGUUGUUUUUGCGCAGAAAUAAAAGUUCUUGGAAUGACCUAAAAAUUUACGGAGAAAUUUUCUGGAAUUUAUGAAAAAUACUGCCGCAAGAAUCAGCGGAGGAUGUGGACCCGUGAGCCCACAAGCCCACCAGGCGCUGGCCCCCCUCGCCGCGCCUGGAAGGCUUGUGGGGCCCACAAAGCUCCACCACCUCCAAUCUCAGCUCUAUUUAGUCCGUCUCGCUCGGAAAAAAAUCAAGGAGAAGAGUUCAUCGCGUUUUAUGAUACGGAGGCGCCGCCACCUCCUCUUCUUCAUCUGGAGGGCACAUCUGGAGUCCGUUCUGGGCUCCGGAGAGGGGAAAUCGUCGCCAUCGUCAUCAUCAACCUUCCUUCAUCGCCAAUUCCAUGAUGCUCUUCACCGUUCAUGAGUUAUCUCAUCGUAGGCUUGCUGGACGUUGAUGGUUUGGAUGAGAUCUAUCAUUAAUCGAGUUAGUUUUGACGGGGAUUGAUCCCUAGUAUCCACUAUGUUCUGAUUGUUCUGAGAUUGAUGUUGCUACUACUUUGCCAUGCUUAAUGCUUGUCACUAGGGCCCGAGUGCCAUGAUUUCAAAUCAGAACCUAUUAUGUUGUCGCCAAUAUAUGUGUGUUCUUGAUCCUAUCUUGCAAGUUGUAGUCACCUACUAUGUGUUAUGACCCGGCAACCCUGGAGUGACAAUAGCCGGAACCACUCCCGGAGAUGACCAUAGUAUGAGGAGUUCAUGUAUUCACCAAGUGUUAAUGCGUUGGUCUGGUUCUUUAUUAAAAGGAGAACCUUAAUAUCCCAUAGUUUCCAUUAGGACCCCGCUACCACGGGAGGGAUGGACAAUAGAUGUCAUGCAAGUUCUUUUUCCUAAGCACGUAUGACUACAUACGGAAUACAUGCUUACAUUAGAUUGACGAACUGUUGCUAGUUACUUAUCUCUCCGUGUUAUAAAUGUUACAUGAUGAAUAGCAUCCGGCAUAAUCAUCCAUCAUCGAUCCAAUGCCUACAAGUCUUUUCCUACUGGUCCUUGCUACGUUACUUUGCUGCUACUGGUGUCACUUCCGCUACUGUUAUUCUGUUGCUAAUGCUGUUACUUUGCUGCUACUGGUUACUGUUGCUCCUGCUGCUAUCAUCCUACCUUGCUACUGAUACUUUGCUACAGAUACUAAAUCUCUCAGGUGUGGUUGAAUUGACAACUCAACUGCUAAUACUUGAGAAUAUUCUUUCGCUUCCCUUGAGUCGAAUCAAUAAAUUUGGGUUGAAUACUCUACCCUCAAAAACUGUUGUGAUCCCCUAUACUUGGGGGUUAUCAGGUAUCUCCGAGGGUGUUUGUGGAGUUGGCAUCGAUCAAGACUGGGAUUUGUCACUCCGUAUGACGGAGAGGUAUCUCAGGGCCCACUCGGUAAUACAACAUCACAAUAAUCGUACAAGCAAUGUGGCUAAGGACUUAGUCACGGGAUCUUGUAUUAUGGAACGAGUAAAGAGACUUGACGGUAAUGGGAUUGAACUAGUUAUGGAGAUACCACGAUUGAAUCUCGAGCAAGUAAUAUACCGAUGGACAAAUGGAACUGCAUACGGGAUUGACUGAAUCCCUGACAUCAUUGUUAACCGAUAAAGAUCUUCAUGGAAUAUGUAGGAGCCAUUAUGGGCAUCCAGGUCCCGCUAUUAGUUAUUGGCCGGAGAGGUGUCUCGGUCAUGUCUACAUGAUUCUCGAACCCGUAGGGUCCGCACGCUUAACAUUUGAUGACGCUAGAGUAGUAUUGCGAUAUGUACAUUGGUGACAGAAUGUUGUUCGAAGUCCAGGAUGAAAUCCCGGACAUCAAUAGGAGCUCCGAAAAGGUCUGGAGGUAAUGAUUUAUAUAUGGGAAGUCAUAUUUAGGGUUGUGGAAAAUGUUCUGGAUUUUUCAGUAUUGUACCGGGAAGGUUCUAUAAGGUUUCGGAGUGGGGCCCACCUACAUGAGGACCCACAUGGACGGUGGUAGUGGGGAAUGUCCUCACACCCCUGGUCUAGGCGCAUCAAUAUCCCCCCUUAAGAGGAAUAGAAUCAUAUCUCAAAAGGAUAAGAUCGAGAUCCCUAAAAAGGGGAGGUAGUGAUCGGUGGGGAAGGAAAGGAGGGAUUUCCUUCCUCCCCCCUUGACCAACGACACUAGGGGCUUGGAGGGAAAGCCACCAUCCCCUCCCAUGCCUAUAUAAUUGUGGGGAGGCGCAAGGGGGCAGCACACCCUAUCACAGGCCGCGGCCCUCCUCCCGUCUCUAUUGUAUCUUCCUCGUACGUCAUUCCAGAGGCGCUUGGCGAAGCCAUGCCGACACUACGAUACCACCAUGUCCACCACGCCAUCGUGUUGGUUGAGUCCCAUCUACUUAUCCUUCCUCUCUUUCUGGAUCAAGAAGGAGGCAACGUCAUCGAGCUACACGUGUGUUGAAUACGGAGGUGACUUCCGUUCCGCACUGGAUCAGAUUGGAUCGCAAUUGGAUUGUGAAGAAUAUAACAACAUCAACCGCGUUAUAUACGCUUCCGGUUAGUGAACUACAAGGGUAUGUAGAUAGACUCCCCCUCUCAUAGAUAUUGAACUCCAUAGAUUGAUCUUGUUGAGCAUAGGAAAAUUUAUAGUUCCCAUGCGACGUUUCCCAACAGUGGCAUCAUGAGGUAGGUCUAUGCGUAGAUAAGAUACACGAGUACAACGUGGGAGUUAAUGUUCAGAUUGCUUACUUCCUUAGUCUUAUUUUGAUUUGGCGGUAUUGUGGGAUGAAGUGGACCGGACCAACCUUAUUCAUCCACGACUCCAUGUACGAGGGACCGGUUCCAUCGACUGACAUGCAACUUGUUGCAUAAGAUGGGUGGUGUGUGUCAGUCUCUCCCACUUUAGUUGAAUCGGCUUCAACAGAGUCGGUCCUUGUAGAAGAUUAAAUAGCAACUUGAAUAUCACCUUUGUGGAUUUGCGUAGGUAAGAAUGGUUCUUCCUAGUUACCCAUAAUAGCCACUUAAAACAUGUAAGAACAAAGUAGAGGACAUAUAACUUUUUUUGCAGCGUAUUUUGUGAUAUGAUAUGGCAAAUGACAUGAUGAGAUAUACGUGAUGUAUGAGAUGAUCAUGUUUUGUAUAGAAUUAUCACGACUUGCAUGUCGAUGAGUAUGGAAACCGACAGGAGCCAUAGGUUUGUCUUUAUUUAUUUGUACCUUUUUUCUUUACUUGAUCGCUGUGAGUUAGCAAUAGUGGUAGCAUAGUUGGUGCAACAACCCUAAUGUUGAUCCAAUGAUGGAUAUCAUGGUGUCAUGCCGGUGAGGAUGGAGAUCAUUCCGGUGCUUUGGAUAUGGUGAUCAAAUGCACAAGAUGAUGAUGAUUUGCAUGUGAUCUGAUACGUCUCCAAUGUAUCUAUACUUUUUGAUUGUUCCAUGCUAUUAUAUUAUCAUCUUGGGAUGUUUUACAUGCAUUUGUAUGCCAUUUUAUAUCAUUUUUGGGACUAACCUAUUAACCCAGUUCAUAGUGCCAGUUUCUGUUUUUUCUGUGUUUUUGACCUUUUUCAGAAAAGAAUAUUAAACGGAGUCCAAACGGAAUAAAACCUGCGGGAUGAUUUUUUCCAUAACAGAAGAUACGCAGAGGACUUGAGAACCAAGGCAGGAGGUCUCGUGGGAGGUCACGAGCCCCCUAGGCGCGCCCUAGGGGGGCGUGCCUGGCAGGCUCCUGGUCCCCCCAUGGAUCCUCUGCCCUACCUCUUUCGCCUAUAAAUUCCCAAAAACCCUGAAACCUCCACAAAGAGCCACAAAAAUACUUUUCCGCCGCCGCAAGCUUCUGUCUCCGCAAGAUCCCAUCUGGGGACCGUUCUGGUGCCCUGUCGGAGGGGGAUUCAGACAUGGAGGGCUUCUUCAUCAACACCAUUGCCUCUCCAAUGAUGCAUGAGUAGUUCACCACAGACCUUCGGGUCCAUAGCUAGUAGCUAGAUGGCUUCUUCUCUCUCUUGGAUCUUCAAUACAAAGUUCUCCACAAUCUUCAUGGAGAUCUAUCCAAUGUAACUUUAUCUUGCGGUGUGUUUGUCGAGAUCCAAUGAAUUGUAGAUUUAUGAUCAGAUUAUCUAUGAAUAUUAUUUGAGUUUCCCCUGAUUUCUUAUAUGCAUGAUGUUGUAUCCUUGUAAUUCUCUUCGAGUUAUGGGUUUCGUUUGGCCAACUUGAUCUAUAAUUUCUUGCAAUGGGAGAAGUGCUUGGUUUUGGGUUCAUACCGUGUGGUGUCCUCACCUAGUGAUAGAAGGGGUAGCGAGGCACGCAUCAUGUUGUUGCCAUCAAGGGUAAAAAGAUGGGGUUUAUAUCAUAUUGCAUGAAUUUAUCCCUCUACAUCAUGUCAUCUUGCUUAAGGCGUUACUCCGUUUGUUANNNNNNNNNNNNNNNNNNNNNNNNNNNNNNNNNNNNNNNNNNNNNNNNNNNNNNNNNNNNNNNNNNNNNNNNNNNNNNNNNNNNNNNNNNNNNNNNNNNNGCUGGCAUCCUCCUCAAGCUCGCCCUCUUCUGAGCCGCCGAUGAUUCGAUGUUGGAAAGUUUCGCCGAUCGUUCUACGUUUUCUUCUGACGGCCACGCACUAGUUUGUACUACCUCUGUUCCUAAAUAUUUGUUGUUGGGGAGAACUAGACUAGUUCUCUCCAACAACAAAUAUUAUGGUACGGAGGGAGUAGUAGAGAGUGGUUGCCUGUGCUUUCCUGAUGUGAUAUGAUUGGUUGGUAUCGUAGCAGUUGGCGUGAGUGACUUUGUAUGGAUCAUUAUCUCGAUGUUUCUGUCAGUAGUGAUAGGACUCCUCCAUAUCACGGUGGUUAAAUAAGUAUGGAUUCUGUCAAUGCUGAGGUUUAAUUGUUCUUACUUUUGAGAAAAAAACGUAGGUUUUUCUUAUGAAAAGGAUAAUAAUACUCGUUCUACGUCGAAUGAUGCACACAACCA